rnacentral:lncRNA from 1 species
ACGACGGAACGAAGAAGUCAAGAAGGUUCCUCGAAGCUAUUCUUCUCCCUCCCGCCAGGGCCUAUCCUAGUAGGGCCCCCUUUCGUGGAAUAGCAGCUACCACUACCAAUCAACCAGAAGAAAAUUCAGCAGAUUCCAGCAGCUUUCUGAAAAUACAGAGUUCCUGCCCAUGAGUUGCAACGAAAUCACCACUCCCAGCUAUACUUGGUUUGCUUCACUCAAAAUAUGAGAGAAAAUCACAGGACACAGCUUGCUUUUCUGAGAUUUACUUUAAAUAUAGCAAUUAAAAGUACCGUAGAUAUUUGUUUAAGGAAUAUUGUGCUCCAAUCUUAGUUUAUGAAAGCUACAAACAAUAAUGAAUGGGUAUCAGCAUACAAAACCUUUUAUCUUAUUUAAUUUAUCCCUGUAUAUAUAUACCCGAUUUGUACAAACUCAAGCAUAUAAACCAUAAAAUAAAAUAAAAACAUAUCCAAAAUAAGUUCACAUCUUAAAUAGGUUUAAUUUAGAAGGACUAAAUUAAGUAAAUUAUGGUUCAUAAAUCCUAUUUUGACGCAAACCAAUCUUAAUUCCAAUAAAGCCCAUUUAAAUGGUAGAGUUUUCACAUAAUUUUACUAAGAUCUCUACUAUUAAUCCCUACCAUUUCUAAAUCAAAGAUGGAAUACAAAGAGUCAUAUGCUGCGAAAAGAAAAGAAAAAAAAAAUCAAGAAAAGAGAGCUUGUCUUGAUAAUUAUUGUCGCACCCCAAAACAAUCCUCGCGCGGCAUCGACUGGCGAUUUUUCAUUCUGUUUAACUGAUUUGGUUCUUUGGAGUCGCCACCUAGUAAUUCAUUGGGGGCUACUAGGAAACCUAAUGUACUGGUCUUGUCAGAGAUCGCGGGUAAGGGACUGGUUGUGGUUAGGAAAGGUAUUAGCAUCCCUAACGCACCCUACCUGAGGUAAGCUGCUUUGUGGACUUGAUGUGCUAAAGAAGUUUUAAAAAAUUUUGUUCUCUCAUCGAAUUUUAGAAAAUACAACUUACAUGUAAGUUCUUGAUUCUUUAUCCGUGAUUAAAUCGAAAUAUUAAAUUCUUCUUUAUUCUGGCAAUUUUAUCAUAAAAAAAAAACAUACACACUACAUUCACUUUCAAGCUUCGUGGACUUGAUGUGAUAUUAAAAAUAAAAUUUUAGCCCAAUUCUAAGGCUUUGAUAAAUCAGUUAUUACUUUUCCAGAAUAUAUGUAGAUACAUGUUCUACAUUUCCAUGGAAAAUUCAACAUGAUUUUUAUCUGUCCUUUAGAUAUUUGUGCUAUAAAUUAAAUUCCUUUUUUUUUUUUAUUCAAUAACAUAAAAAAAAAUACAAACACAACACAUUUUUUUUUUUAUUCAUCACUUUUUCUUUUCUUUUCUUUUUCUUUUACAUCACAUUUACAUAAUGCAAAUAAAAAAUCCAAACCAAAUAAAAAAAAUACAUCAAAUAAAUUUUAAAUUACAAAAAAAAAGCCCCUAAACAAUCUAGAAAUAACAGGGAUAGCCUUCAGCAGCCGGAACAGUGUUCAACAAAUUUUCUGGGUGCAGGAACAGUGAUGGCGCGUGGAUCCCACGCACCACCGCCACUGGCGGCGCGUGGGACCACGCGCCACCGUGAAAAACAACCCGAAACAGGGGGGGUCUGCAACGACCUCCUCCCCCUUUCUUUCCUCGCCGGCGCCGACCUGCAAUUACAACAAAAAACCCAACAAAGCAGUCGAUUUUAAAUUUUUCUUAGUUUUUUUCAGAUCUGUUUUUUCUUCUUCUUCUCCAUAUCUGCUUCGGAUUUUUGCUUCUUCUUGUCCGAUCUGGCUUCUCCUUCUCUGUUUCAGGCGACGGACGGCGCUGCUGGAGGCCGAUCUGGUUUGUGGCGGCGUUGAUGAUCACGAGUCUGCGGGGAGAAGCAACUGCUGGGAUGGGUCGGCCAGGAGGGGGUCGGUUCGGUUUCUGUGGACGGUCUGGCCCCUCGUCUGGUCCCUGUCCGGCGUGAGGCUGAGCUCGGGCUGUUGAAGCUACGGUGGAGCUGGCCUGGCCGCUGGUCUGCGGGGAGAAGAUCAGGAAGAAGACAGCGGGGAUGGAGAGGGACGGCGCCGCUGGGUUCUUCGGGUGGCUGAGGAUGAAAGGAAAAAAAAAAAGGGUUCUCUGGGGGGAGGGACUGUCGGCAGGUUGAGGGAAAAAAAAAUCAAAAGGGGAAGGGCUGCUGUUUGGUUUCAAUUGGGAGGCAGAUGGGAGAAGAGAAAAAAUGUUAUCGAGUGUGUGGGUUUGUGGAGACCGAAAAUCAACACCCCGGGGGGGGGGAAGAAUAAAUCAAAGAUGGGGGACCGUGAGGGUGAGAAGGGAGUCUCUGUGUUUUGUUUUCAAGCGGUUGUGAGGAGAAGAUCAAAAUCCCCGGGGGGUGGCCGGCGGCUAAAAAAAAAAAUCAAAACCCAGCAGGGGCUGGCGGCUGGUCCUUCAUGAGGAAAGGAAGAUGGUUCGUUUUUUUUUUUUUUUUUUUUAGGGUUUUCCCCCUUGUGUUGCCUCCCAAAAUUACCAAAUGAACCCCCCUUUUGAGUUUUGAACCAGUAUUUAUAGAAAUUUUGUAGGUUUUUCAAACUUGGUCCCUCAACUUCUUUUUUUUGUAAAUUUUGAUUUUUUUUUUUUUUUGUAUUUUUUAAAAACGAGCAAAUCAACGUCGAUUCUAUGAGAAAAAUUGAUUUUAAAAUGACGCGUGAAAAGUCGAACGCGUUCGAAAACUUGAAAAUUAAAAUUCUUUUAAAAAUUAAUUUUUAAGACGCUGAAAAUGCUAAAAUGACAAGAAUAUAUUAAAAAAAUAUAUUUUUUGGAUUUUGAUUGUUUUUCUCUAUUUUUGGAUUUUUUCGAAAAUAUAUCAAAACAUGGGUCAAAAAUUGGGUAGCAACAAUUAUAAUACAUAGUUAGGUUUAAAGUUGAUGAGAUAUCUAUUGUUAACUAAUAUUUUUUGAGUUUUAAAAUAAUUAGGUUUUAAUUUGAUAAGAUAUCUAUUGUUAACUAAUUUCUUCUUUAUACAUUGUUAUUAUCAAAGAAUCAUUAUAAACUUAAAAGCUUAAAGUUUUAAUUAUAAUUUUAUAUUAUUACUAGAACAUCUUUUCAAGUGAAAAAGACUUGACAUGGUUUUCUAUAAUAGGUUAAGCCUUCUAAUUAUUUUUAAUCUUUUUAUGCCCAUCCAACGGCUCUGCUGAAUUGCUUGAUACAUCAUAAAAUGACUUGAUUUUGUAAUGUAUAUGAUUGAACCCAUGCAAUCUGAACAUUGAAAAGUAAAAAAGAAUCUUUAAAAUUUGGUCCAGAAAAUGACUUGAUUUUUCAUGCCCAUCCAACGGCUCUGCUAAAUUGCUUGAUACAUCAUAAAAUGACUUGAUUUUGUAAUGUAUAUGAUUGAACCCAUGCAAUCUGAAGAUUGAAAAGUAAAAAAGAAUCUUUAAAAUUUGGUCCAGAAAAUGACUUGAUUUUUUAUGCCCAUCCAACAGCUCUGCUAAAUUGCUUGAUAUAUCAUAAAAUGACUUGAUUUUGUAAUGUAUAUGAUUGAACCCAUGCAAUCUGAACAUUGAAAAGUAAAAAAGAAUCUUUUAAAACUGAACAUUGAAACCUUCAAUUAAACUUCUUGUAAGAGCAUGUGAUAGCUAGAGUUUUAUUUACUUAACUGGAUUCACAAAAUACACUUUUCAAAAAAUAAGAUUUUCUCAUAUCCAAAAAUAAAAAAAAGUGUUCAGCAUCAAUGGUUGGACCCACGGAAUGUGAGGCUUGAGAAGUAAUAAAGACUUGGCAUGGUUUUCUGUCUUUUCUAUGCCCCGCUAACGGCUCCGCUAGAUGAAUUGAUUUUUUGACGUUAUUAGAAAAUUAAUAAUCAACAUGAUCGAACCCAUGGAAUCUGAACAUUGAGAAGUAAUAAAUAAUGCAUCUUUAAGAUUUAUGGUCAAGUCUUUGUUCAUGUAAUUCAGCAUCUUUUGUUUUCCAUAUCAUGUCGAUCAAAAUUGCAUUGUCAAGCAGAGAACAAAAUAAUAAAGCUAAAGCACCACCACAAGUUGAUAUAUUACUUUAUAUAUAUAUAUAUAGGUACUCUACCGAGGUAUUGUUUAAACUAUAUUUUAUUUCAACAAAAAAAUAACAUAGCCUUCUACGCUUGUAAUUGCUAAACCAUUUUGUAUUCAGAAUAUAUUAUUUAUACUAUUCUCCCAUGAAAAUUCUUGGCUGUGAUAUUCAUACACCAAUUGCUGGCUCUAUUUCAUACACCAUGGAAGACUUGGUUGAUUUGGUCGAUGACGUGGACACCUAUGGUGAUGGGGAAGAAGACGUUGCGGAUGAUGAGGACUUUUGGGGACAGCAGCAACGGGUUGGAAAAAUCAGAUCUGGCGAAGGAUGGAGACAAUUAUCAUGUAUUGAUAUUCAAAUACUCGAAAAACAAAUUAGGUGGUGUGCUGCCUCAAUCAGAAGAUUUGAAUAACUUUCAUAAUAAUUUUUUAAUAUCAUGAAUUAAUUAUUUGAAUUUGAUUAGUUACUAAGUGGUGCAUAAAUAAUGUUUUUAAAAUGCUAAAAUCAUAUUUAGAUUAGUCCAACGAUUUAGAAAGGUUUAUUCACCUUAAUUUACAUUAAAUUAAUCUUCAUUUUUAUUAUUAUUUUAAAGUUUUAUAAGUUUUAUCAAUUUUAAUUCACAUCGAGAAAAUAUAAUUUUUAAUUAAAAAAAGAUUCUAAUAAUAUUUUAUUAAUUAAACAUGAUUUGUUUUUAUAUAUUAAUUUUCGAUAUUAACCUUUAGGCUAUGCGUGUUUGUAUAACAUCAUAAUUUAAAUAAUCUUUAAAAAUUAAAUAAGUGAAUAAGCUUUCAUGCAUGCGCGCGCGCAGAUGCUUCCUCACCAUCACUAUUUAUAAACAAGGAAUUAUCUGCAAGAAAACUUAUUCUCAGUGCAAACAUGAUUAUUUACCAUGAGAAACUCAGCCAGUAUAAUUAAUUAGAAGAGAUAAAUUCUCCAUCUAAUAAAAAGAAUGAACCUUGCAGAAAUUUGUUAGACAUGCUUCAAGAAUAUCUCUCUUAUUGCAGAAAAUUAUGGUGCCACAUACCUAGUCGGGUGUCUGAAAAGCACCAAGAUCAUGAAAUUAAACCAAGAAAAUAUAUAAAUAUCAAUGAGAAAUAUUCAGGAGUGAUUUAUGAAAGUCAAUAAAUUUGACAAAAAGAAAGCAAAAUGGAUAGGAGUUUGGUCCGUCCCUUGCAUGUUUAGAUACUGCAUUACCAAGAAUGUUAUAUUUUCACAUGUCACGUUGAAGUUAUUGUAUGAAAGAUCCCUGCAAGUUAACAAUUCAUAAAAUCGAUUUGAAAUUGAUCUUUAUGAAUUGGCAAGUUAACAAUUCAUAUAUUACACUAAAUUGGCAUAAAUUAAUUAAAUUGAUUGGUCUUUUUAAUAAAAUUCUCUUAAUCUUUCUCAUCUCUCAGAGUUCACUAAAUAUACUGAAAUUGCAAGUGCACUUUUUACAAAAGCAGUGUUUUUUUUUAAUGAGUCUUUCACCUUCUCUUACAUGCUUUUCCAAAAUAUAUUUUUAUAACAUGUCAUUUUAUUAAUAAAUAAAUAAAACUAUUAUCAUGACUAGAUUCCAUAAAUUGCUAAAUAAAUAAAGAUUGAAUCUUAUAAUAUAGUUAUUAAAUAUAAAUUGAUAAAUUGAUCUAGAAAAACUUAUAAUCUAAAACCUUACCCGAGCUGAAAUUCAUGUUAAACUAAAAAGAAAUAUUGAUUAGGUGAAGUCCAAUUGAUUCACCUCUAUUUUUAAUAAUUAUAUUAACUUAAUUAAACUAAAUCUAGUUAAUUUAAAGAAUUUUCUUUAAUAAAAUAAAACAAUAUUGUUUUACUUAAAAAUAACUUAAAUUAACUGGGAUAUCUCUCAAAUUAAUUUGAUAAUUUAAACCAUUUUUCGAGUUAGUUUCCGAUUGCGAAUCGAUAACUACAAUCAUUCUACACCUAUAUACACUCUCGGAAAAAGAUAAUGAUAUUCAUUUUUCUCAAAGGAAACUGUUGGUCCACCCAUGUUCACCCUAUGAACAGUCUCCCCACUGGAUUAAAAGUUUCAGCAUCAUCUGUAAUGAGCUCAUCGGGAACUGAAACGACUUCCAAAGGCAUUUAAGAGGCAAAUGAAUUGCCUGAAGAGUGAUGGUGAUAACAGGUCUUGAGUUACAUAACUGAAAAUUCUUUAACAACAGAAGCCUUCAACUGAAAUUGCUGAGGAAACACCAAAACUCGCAUUGCUCAUGUUGUAAGUACCACUAACAAAUGGAUAGAAAUAUAACGAAUCCAUUGCCUCCCGGUUGGUUAAUCAAAAGUGUACUUGAGGUUCCAUCAAAGAUUCUUGCUGUUGAUAGAGUGGUGAAUCAUCCCCAGAAGUGACAGAUAUUGAAGCAUUUGCAAAAGUGUUUUUCGGGGUUGAAAGAAAGUUGGGAGGCAGAGCUAUCAGCAACAAAAACACGGUUACCCACUGUAGUAUUGGUGAGUGAUCCGCAGUCUAUAAGAUAAUUGUCUAUGUUGUAACCUAUUUUUGGAUUCUCAUAGAAAAUAAUAAUAAUAAUAAUAAUAAAUAAAUAAAUAAAUAGCUAGAAGAAAUUAAAAAAAAUAACAAGUGGCGGGAGCAAUCAGAAAAUUAUCAGAAAAAUGAAUUAAGGAGGAUAAAAAUACAAAGAUUAAAAUUUUGACAGUAUAUCCUUAAAUGAUGAGAGCCAUGUUAGAAAAGAAAAUUCAAUUUGAAGAGAAAAGUCCAAAAUUGGAUGUUUAUAGAAUCAAUUGGAUUUUAUUGAAGGUUUAAUUGAAUUUAUAAAGGGUUUGAUUGCAAAACAAAUUUAUUUUUAAGUCAUUUUGGGCUUUAAUUGGAAGAAAUUAAAGUUCUUAGGUCAAAUUAUAAUUUUUUAGAGUUGAUUUGGUCAAAUCAGGGGCUUAAUUGCAUAAAUAUUGAAGUUUAAUGACCAAUUAGGGAUUUAAUUGAGAAAAUCUGAAACCAAGGACCAAAUUGGAAAAGGCGCGUAAAUAGAGGGGCUGUAAUCAACCAAAUCAGGGGUCAAAUUAAAGAAAUUGGAAGGUUAUUAAUCAAUUGAGGGUCCAAAUGCACAAAUUCAAAACCAAGGACUAAAGUGAAAAAAGGCGGACAAUUAUAGGGGCGGCGAUUGAAAUUGGCAGGGAUGCAAUUGAAUUAAUUCUUAAAAUCAAGAUUACAUUGUGAGGACUUAAAAGAACAAAAGAUAAAUUAAGGAUUGAUUUGGAAAUGAAUAUGCUAGCGCCACCUUUAAAUGAAAUGACACGUUUUGUAUAAAGCGACGUCGUUUCAUGUUUAAAAAAAAAAAAACAAAGAGCAAAACGAUGUCGUUUUGAGCGACAUCGUUCCUCUUUCUCCUUCCCCUGGACGUGCAGCAAGGGAAGGCAUACGGUUUUCUUCUUCUUUCUUCAUUGAUUCCUGCGAGCCGCGUGCCCUACGAAAGACCCGAAGCCCCACGCACCUUGAUGAUGAGAAAUCGGGGGCGCCAUGCCUUGCUAGCCGUGCCCACCAACCAACCCAGCGCUGCCCUGCUCCCCAUGCACAUCAAUAAAGAGGCCUCGCUCCCUUGCCCCUACAAAUGGAGACUGAACGCCAGCACGCGAGGGGGACAAAAAAGAGAGAAGGAGGACGAACUGAAAAAGAAAGAAAACGAACCAAAACGGAGAGAACGAACAGGAGAGAGAGAGAAAGAGAGAGAGAACAAACCGGAGGGAGAGAGAACGAACCAACGAAAGGGAAAAACAAAUCGAAAGAGUAGGAAAGGAAACGGAGGAGAAGGGAAGAGCAAUAACCCCUCUCUCCACCGCUUGAAGCAGUAACACCACUUCUUAGAGCCGCCAUCCAUGAGCCGCGACACUGCCACCGGCCUCCACCGCAGCACCGCCAGCAAAGCAGUCAGAACAGUAAGGCAUCGCCUCCACCGCACCAGGUAAACCCCCCCCACCUUCAUUUGUUUUGUUGGCUACAUUUCCUCCUGCAUGUAGAACAAAUAUCGUUCUGCAUGCAAGAGAAGAGGAGGGGGAAAAUAAUUCCCCCCAUCCGUGGGUUUUUUGUUGCUGGCCCAACACUGAUGGGUUCUCCUUUUUCUAGGCCAAACGGGUUUUUGUGGGCCAGGUUGAUUCUGGCCCAGCCUUCAUGUCUGGGCCAGGUCUGGCCUAGACCCAAAGAGGCAGAGUGAACUAGUAGACCGAGAUCGGCCCAACCCUUUUGGGGUUGAGUUCGGCCCAGUUAGUUGGGCUGGCCCAACCCAACCCACCUAAUAUUAUAUAUUAUAUAUUAUAAUGUUUUUAUAUUAUUUAUAAAUAUAGAUAUAAAAAAAAUCUGAAAAAUCUUUAAAAAAAUUGUUGAUUUUCCUGCGUAUUUUUAUCAAAAUUGCUUAAUAUUGGUUUGUAUUUUUAUACUGUAAAGAUACAAAUCUAGUAUUAAAAUACCCGGUUUUUGUCAAGACAUAAAAAAAAUGUUUUGUUUUCAAAAUUCUGAAAAAUUCUUAAAAAAAAUUAUAGAUUUUCAUGCAUAUUUUUAUUGCUUAAUAUUGAUUUGUAUUUUUAUACCGUAAAGAUACUAAUCCAAUAUUAAAAUUUCCGGUUUUCGUCAAGACAUAUAUAUAUAUAUAUAUAUAUAUAGGUUUUGUUUUCAUGCAUACGGUCUAGUUUCUCCAAAAAAAUAUCAUAUUUUUAUACAAUAAAGAAAAUUUCAAAAAAUAUACGUAUUAGCAUGCACUUUGGCUUUAACAACAAGUUUGUUAGAGCCAUGAAAACAAGGCCAAUAUUUCAAAAAUUCUAAAAAAUCUUUUUGUCUUCUUUUAGUAUCUGGGAUUAUGAAUUUAUACGUAAAACAUAUUCCUGAUAUUAAAAAUAUAGUUUUCAAAUAGACGUUAGAACAAUUAGGUUUUUACCCGAUACAAUAAGGACCUCCUUACUAAGGAGAAUUUUUCUUGAACCAUAGACAGACCAACAAUUAGAAAUAUAAUAACACCUUAGCUUUUUAUCAGACAAUUAAACAAUACAGCUUAACUUAGGUAAGACGUAUUUGGGAUACUAAUACCUUUCCUUUACGCAAUCAGUCCCCGUAUCUGAUCUCUGAGACCAGUUAAGGUUACUAGUGACCAAAAUAUUAGGUGGUGACUCACAUUCCAUUUUCCACCGAUAAACGACAAGAGUUUUUUAUCUUCCUAUAUUUGCCAUAUAGAUAGAUAUUAUAUUUAGAUUUGAAGUGGAACAAUUUUUACCGCGACGCCGCACACGUGCGACAGUCUACAUGAGUGAAUCCACUAGAUAAACAUACCAAACUUAAGAUUGACAAAAGUACACAAAUGAAACGUCUAGAUCCUACACUGCCCAUCAUUUCGAAAUCUGGAACUUUACUGGGGAAAUAUGGAAAUCUAUUGAGCUUUAAGAUAUAUAGAAACUAAGGACUCUUAUCAAGGCAGAGCACUAGGGUGCCCCUAGUAAUCAAUAGCAGAACAAUAGAAACCAAAAUCCAUGAAGAGGGAUGAAUAAGGAAGUGAAAUCAAAAUCCAAGAUUGCAUAAUAUAGCAAGAGCAAGCAAAGAAGUUGGCGCUUUUCAGUUACAGAUACGGAAGAAAUCUAAAUCCUAAAUAGCAAUGUAUAGAAUUGAACAAGAAAGACAAAUCUAAAGUAGCCAAAAGCAAUACAAGGAAAGGAGCUUGUAGUUGUUGUUACUCACAAAUAAAUGAAGAAAAGAUGGCACACCUUGAACAAAAUUUGAGGUCAAAAGGGGGGGACCAGAUGGGAAAUACUUGUGAGGAGGACAAGGUAAAUAUGGUAUAUUUUGAAAUGCUAAAAGGGCUUUCAGUUCAAAUAAAAAGAAGUCAAAAUACAAGCUGGUGCGAACUAGAACUUUACUGGGGAAAUAUUGAAAUAUAUUUUAAUCAUGAAAAAAAUAUAUUUUAAUCAUCUAAUUAAAUAUUUUUUUUAUAGUUUAUUUUAUUCUAUUUUUUUUAUGUUUCUUGUUAUAUGAUUAUAUAAAUCUUGCUUGAGUUGAGUAUAACAUAUAUUUCAAAUUAUUAAAUAAUAAUAUCCUUUUCUAUUAUAAAUUUCGUUAAUUAGCAUUUAAUGUUCGCAGAACAUGUUUGGUUUGAUAAUAACAUAAAAAAAAAAAAAAUUAUUCAUUUACUUACUUUAUUCAAAAGAAACUUAACUUCUUGGUUUUGAUGCGUAUUUAAUAGUUUUUUAAUUUUAUUAAAAUUGUUUUUUCUAAUAUAUAAAUAGCAUAUAAUAGUUGUGAUACUUUUUAUUGGAAAAAUAUUGAGUAAUAAAAAUUAGAAUUAAAAUUAAUUGAAACUUUUUCUGCAAAAUACUGUAUUUCUGUGUGUUGUCUUUCUUGUUUCUUGUUUCCGCCUGCAUCAUGAACCUUUAAAAUAAUUCAUAAAUUCAAUCAAGAAUUCCCUGUCUGCAUUUUGCUGCAGUCAGCUGUGGUCACUUUUUUGCCAAUUCUGGCUGCAGAGAACUUUGCAGCUACGACGAAAGAUGCAAAAUUCUUUUUGGAAUUCAGUUCUGUUUAGAGAAGAAUCAAGCUAAUAGGUUCAGGUACCACUGGGAGAGACAGAAAGAAGCAGCUAUGGUUCAACAAGGCAUGAUCCUUGCUCAAUGAGAAGUGUAGAAAAACUGGUAUAUAAACCACACAAUCUGUGUAACAUGGUGGUCUGCAUGAUCAACAAUGGUAGUUGUCUUCUCAAUUAGAGUAUACAUAUAAGUAGGCAUUGUUUAAAAACCACAACAAAUUGGAAGACUCAUUAUUGAUGCUGCCACUCUCUCAGUUAAAGAUGUUUCUUUAAGCCUUAACGACGAUAUCGACUGAGCUCAUCUGAUUGCUAUAAGAACAAAGGAUAUUGAAUUGUCUCAUUCUGAUUGCUGCAAAACCUCAACAAAUGCUUCCUUCAAAAGCGGGUUUGAAGCUGCGACUCUUUGAGUAGUGAUGUCAAAAUCUUUACCAGAUCUGUAGCCGAAAGAGCAACCAUCAAAAUAUCAGAACACGCAUUAUAUUCUGGACAAAAUGUGAGCAUAUGCUUAUGUUCUUAAUAUCUUUGACCUAUUGCUUGCCCGGAUGACAGAGUUGAGGAUGUCACAAGACGACGAUUAAAUCAUGUUGACAUUCGAUAAACACUGUUCUUUCAUGUCCAUGCAUGGGACUAUCCUCUCUAUAUCCCACACUACCCCCACCUAAGUUGUGGAAGGGAUGAAAUAUAAAUAGCAUCACUUACGGGUCAUAAACGAUUCCUCCAGCUUCUUUGACAAUCACAGCACCACCUGCCACAUCCCUGAGUUCAAGAGUAGAUUAUAUCAAUCAUGCGUCCAGAUGAACUUUUCUUGCGUCAAUCACAAAUACGUACCACGGGCCUCCAUAUCCGGUUUCAUAAAACAAAUCAAUCCUUCCACAUGCAACUCCGCAAAGAUUCAAUGCACAGGAGCCAGUCAUCCUAAGGGAUCUCACCUGAUAACAAGAUAAUCAGAUAUGAAUUUUAAGAAAACCAACACAUUUUACCAAAGCACAUAGCUUCCACAGCAUGUUCUGGUCUCACCUUGAAAAGUAAGGUGUUAAUUCUGUUCGUUGUGGCAUCCACAGUAGACUUGUCACGUUUUGUUCCAGCCUGCUCUUAGAAGAAUUUAGUUUGGUCAGUUCCUAACAUGAUUCCUUAUGAAACAUAAAGGAGUGGACUUGAAGUAGAAAGGAGUUUUAACCAGAUUCCACACAGAGCAUAACAGGGGUGAACUUAAAGCACUCCUUUUGCAGGGUAUUUGCAAGUGCAACAUGGUAAAAACUAAAUACAUUCACAACGCAUAGAUCUGCAUUUCAAAUACAGGGAGUUGGAUUUCUAGAGUCUACGAACAAUAUUUUAAUAUAAACGAGAAGGGUUAGCAUGCCAGAAAAAUCAAUCCAGGGUUAAAACAAGCUACCCUUACUCAGCACUUAACAUUUCUGACACUAUCUGGAGUUAAGACUGAAAUUGAUUGUGCCCAAGGCAAUUUUAACACCCUUCAAACCGAUCCAAUAAGAAACCAAUUGGAGAUGUACAGUUAGAAGGAUAGAAUUGUACCAAAAAAAUAUGAGACAGUAGGGCACCAAUUCAUCUCAGGUUUCAAAACUGAUUCCCGGUUAUAUUUCAGUUUAAGCUAUCUAAACUGAAAAGCAUCUCAGUUUGCAAGUUUGGGCAGACAAAAAUGAUGCUGAAAAGCAUACCUCUGUUGCAAGAAGAGAUUUCACAAGCUCACUUUGAGAUGAUACUGCAAUCGAAACACAAGUACAUAGCUGCUUAAGUUUCAUGGAAAGAUUAGCAUGCAAAAGUAUCAAAAUAUGGAAACUGACAAUAGUCAACUCAGAGACACCUUUUAUGGGUUUUCCAUUCAGAAAUGCACCUUUUCCAUGGACGCCUGUAAAAAGCUGCAUUUAUAAAUCCAAAAUCUUUUAGCAAAUUACUGGAUCACAUUUCAAAUUCUAUAAAAUUUUGACAGAACAUUAACUUCGAUGUUAAAUGGGACAAUAUACGACCACAUAUCUGAAGUGAAAGCAAGAAGUGUUCAAGAAGGCAGACAAAAGUUUGAUGGACUAACUGCUUAGAUAUAGCUAGAUACUCGUUUUCCCGAUAUUUAAAUACUGGCAGACUCAACAUCAUAAAGCAGACAUUUAUCUGAGUAGAGGACCAUGCAGCUGAAAACUAGUGGUCACUGGUCAGUGUUCAUUUUGUGAGGAAAGAUGCACUAACAUCCAGCAUACAUGUAGAAGAUCACCAGGCUAUAUGAAAGGAGGUAAACUCUGCAUGUUCUACAUAAAAUUUUAAUCAUUUAAAGUUCAAAGUAAUAUCUGGCCACCUAAAACUAACAUGCAAUAUAUAAAAUCUCACCUCUUCCAUUAUUGGGUUGUAAACAACACCUACUGUAGGAACUUUUCCAAUUGUAAGACCAAUAGAAAUGCACACAAAGGGGAACCUACAUCCAAACAUGUUGCGACAAAUUAAAGUGAUGUUACAUGUAUAAAAACAAGAGGAAAUUGCCUUCACUAAACAAUGUUAAAAAAAAAAAUUGCAUUUACCCAUGGACAAAGUUGGUUGUUCCAUCAAGAGGAUCAACUAUCCAUGUCGGUUCAUCAGUCAGUUCCGUAAUACCACAGGCAGCAGUAGUUUCUUCCCCAAUGAACUAAGAAAACCAGCAAAAGAGAACUUUCAAGAGAAAAACAGAGGCACUUUUUAGGAGACAAUAUUCCCCGUACAGAUCAAUAAUGCUCAAAUUCAUCACCUACAAAGUAGAAAAUACUAAAGUAAGUUGUUAACCUUAUGUGAGGGGUGCUGCUGUUUGAGAUAAUUAAAAAUAAGAUCCUCACAAGCCUUGUCAGUCUCAGUAACUAAAUCCACCUGCAAUUGAGAAAUAAAAUAAACAAUUGUCAGUAAUUACACGCAUAUAGUGAAGUAUGUUUAGCCACAGCACUUUUAUCCGGGCUAAAUUAACACAAAUGGGUUGGCAACUUCUAAUUUUUUAAUUUCCUCCUCUGCUCCACAGUUAUGAUGAUACAGUCCAAUUAACAAAGGAAAUAUGCUAGCAUUACAAAAUAGCAAAAGCACUUUCAAUUUUUUUACAAACUCGAUGACCUCAGCGUGAAGAUCAAAACUUUGUUUCCCAGCAGCUUUACAAACAAGGAUUUUAGCACCUCAUGCACGAUGAAUUCAAUUACCGUUAGCUUUACAGACGUUGAUGCUAAAUUCAAUUGCCAUUUUAAAGCUCCCCCGGCAUGUUAAAUUCAAUUCCCAGUUUUGUUACAAAACAAGAUCACCUCAAUGCCAAGAUUAAAACUUUAUUUCCAUUAGCUUUACAAACUGGGAUCUUAAAGUCCCCCCUUGCAUUCUAAAUUCAAUUUGCAAGCAGAUAUAAUCAAUCACUGAUCUGAAUUCAAGAUUAUUUAGCAGCAUUUGAUCAACAAUUCUCCUUUCUUUAGGGGAAAAAAAUUGCUAAGCACUACACAGACUCUACAUUCAAGAUCACAUGAUGCAACAAGAAUGUCCAAGAUAAGACUACCUUGAUUAACGACCAACAAGAAAAAGAGAUACAAAAGAACCCAAGAAAAGCAAAGAUGGGUACCAGGCCUUUAUGCUCCACAUGCUUGGUCUGGUAGAAUCCUUCACGGAUUAUCUACAAGGCACACAAGAAAUGGAAAAUGAGACUAAAUUUGAGACCCCUAAAAAAGGAAAAACAAAAUCUAAAAUUUAUAUCUCACCUCUCCAGCUCUCUUUGCUGCCUCAACAGCAGUCUGCAAGAACUCUGAAAGAGAAUCUAAAACAUCCCAAAUAAAAAACAAAAUGCAAAAAUCAUCAAGAUCCCAUACUGAAAAUGAACCAAGAAAUCAAAAACAAAACGAGAAAGAAUGCAAUAAAAAAAACUUGAUGGGGUCCUACCAUUCUGUGCCAUGUUUUAAAAUUUGUAUGUAGAAAGAAGAGAGUGACAGAGGGAAGUAGAUUGUGGUGGAGGUGAUGGUGAUGAAAGGCUCUGUGUCUUGAGUUUUUUUACGUCUAAAAGGAAGCAGCAGGCAAACCACAAAAUGGACCGUUUGAUUUCUGUUUUUUUCUCUCUUUAUACAUAUAUAUGCUGAAGAAUCUGCCUUUUCACCCAGUCUGUGUACUUUUUGCAUCAAAUUCCUGGUGAAAAAGGAAGUCCUUUAAUGGUGCCUUUUGAGUCCUUUUAACCCUUUUUUAUGGCUAUUCUUCCCCUACGUCAUAUUGUUACUCUUGAGUUUUCCUAUGAAAUUAAGAAAAUAUUAACAUCCAAAUGAUGGGGAAAGAGAUUUGCUCAAUUUUGAAUGAUGGAGGGCAUCAUUGGUGAGCCUAGGAAGAUAGGGACCAAAUUGAAACCUCCCUAAUAACUUGGGGUAUAUUUGUAGUUUUCCUAGAACAAAAAAUACCUAAAAUCUUACAUUUUUUUUUAAAAAAUAAAUAAAUAAAACCCAGCAUCAAACUCAGUGAUUGCUGAUGAAAGCAUUAAAAUCAGAUACCGUGAGAAUACGAAAUGAAUAUGGUGGAAAGUCAAUUCGGAUGAUAAAGGCAUCUCUUUUUUAUGGCAAUAAAAACAUAGUUACAGUAACCAAUCGAGGAUCAACUUACUUAAAGGUUAAUGUUAUGGAGUAAUCUAUAUUAAUAAAUAAAGUUUGAAAUAACAUUAUUUUUUUAUCAAAAAAAAAAAAAGGGUUGUUCCAUUCCACCUAUUUAACUCGGAUGACGAGGUUAGCCUAUGUACUGAACCGGGUCUUAGAAGUAGGAUAAAAAGUGAAAGCAGCAGAGAACAUUCUGGUUUUGGAAUUGAAGUAGAUGCUUGGAAUAUGCUGGAGAUGUUCACUCGUGAGUCGUGACUCACACAUGGAAGCCUCAUCUUUAAUAAUAAAGAAAAUGACUCCUUUCCUAGCAAGAAGAAAAGAAUUUUGGUGUGAAUUCUCUACCCUGUGGCCCACCAAACGAAGCUUCCUAUCAUAUCAUCCUCAGUAGGUUCUGCUGAGGAAUGUCCUUUGAUACUCUGUAUACGGUCAAAUGGCGUCACGGAGGACCCCUAAUGGCGGUGGGAAUCUAGUAACAUGCGACUGCUGCCUACUCUCCUCACUUGAGACUUGGUUCAGACUCCUACCAUCGACAAGAGUUAUAGCUACUUUACGUCCGCACUCCCUCGAACAAGGAAUCGUAACUUGUACACAAGUCUGUGUACAUAUGGAGAGGGAGACCUAUAUGGCUUCAAGUAGGUUACCAUGGGGAAUGAACAUACGGUGAAGCUGAAUAAUGACGGCUUCCAAUAGAGGACAUGGUUCACAAAAACAUGAACAUGCUCUCUAACAGGGUUCCUAAAAGCCGAGUAUUGGAUUGAACUCGAUUCAUGUCUCUUUAUUUCUCUCUUCCUUUCAAUACAUGUAAUUUUACCACAGAUCGCUAUGAGAGCUACAAUUUAUGUAAAAUAAUUACAAUAAACAACCAAGCUCUUUCGUGACUACUCUCUAGGCUCACAUAUCGUGUCAUCACAACUGCAUUAGAACGAUCCAAUAAUAUAUCUCCCAACAGCUGUCACAAUUAAAGAAGCCUUUUUAAUAAAUAGUACAAUUAUCAAUGACAAUAACAAAGCACAUUUUAAUGAAAGCAUUUUCCUAGGUUCAGAUGCCUAGAGAAUUGCUUCAUUGAAUGUUCUAAUGAUAUAUGAGCGGGAUAUAAUUAAGUUUCCCUACCUUGACAGCUUGUCGUCUUGUAAUGUAAUUGGUGGAUUCUAGCAGCUUCGAAUUAAAUUCAGCAAAAAACUGAAGUCCAUACAAAGUUAGACAAUGUCAAGCUCUGACCAACAUUUAGCAAGCAUGGCCGCAACAGGAAAUAAAGACACAUUUAGAAUGUUGCAAUUCAUGUUUUUGUCAUAGAUAUGUAGCUACCAACAUGCAGUUUAAAAAAGCAAAGAAGAAUGCUAUAAAAUUGAGGAGAUAAAGCUGCUCAAUUCAUCAGAGAGUCAAGUAAUAGCUUCUACUUUAUAUGCCCCAUCAUUGCAGAGCCACAAUAUCUUGAUAUUAAUGCAUUACCAGAAAAAUAAAUUUGCAAACCGUCUUUCUCUAAUCUCACCAAAGGUUUUCCGGCUAACACUUUUGUUGGCCUUCAAAUUCUUUGAAAAAUCUAUAGAGGAUCAGGUAUGCCCCAUUAUACAGUGUCAGUGCGUGCAUAACUGAGGCAAUAUAUGCGCACAUAUGUAUCUACAGGAAUAUAGGAUUUGAAUUUAGGUGUUAAAAAAAAACCUUUAGAGCUUAAAACCUUUACAUUGCUUUUAUAGGAUUUUGGUUUAGAUUCUGCUUUAUGUCUCCAUCAUUGCACAGUCACGAUAUCGUGUUAUUAAUGCAUCACCAGAUAAUUAAAUCUGCACAUCAUCUUUCUCCAAUCUCAGCCACAAGUUUUCUCACCAAAAUACUCGUCUGCCUACAAAUUCUUUAGAAAACAAGAGGAUUGGGCAUGCCUAUCAACCACCUUGUGUGUGUGGGAUGACCUAAGGCAUACAUAGCAGAAACAAGUAUAAACCUGUACAAGUAUGCAUCUAAACAUAAGUGACAGCAGAACUCACCCAAUCAUAGUUCUUAGAAAGAAAUUCAGCUACUGUAGAUUUAUGGCUUGUCAAUAGUUCCUGCAACAAAACAAUAUAAAAGUCUCAGAUUCACACUUCAACUAAUAGCAAAUACAAGGCCGAAACAUAAAAACUUCAUAAACAUGCAAUAAAGACAAAUAAUACAAUUGUCAAAUUCGAAUUCCACAAAUAAAAUGCUUGACAGAAGCUUCAAAACCCUAAUGCAUGUUCAUCGCAAUCUUACAUCUACACUCACCAAAAUUCAACAACACUAAUCUAAUUCUUUUAUUGUGAACAAACUAGUUGAAACAAAUCAAUGACACAUAUAGCGCCACAGAUCACACCAAAUUCACAAACCUACAAUCAAAGUUUCCACUUUUAAUCACUCCCUUGACUACUAAAGCUACUAAAAAGCUAAAACCUUUACACCCAACCAACUGCCAGUAAUAUCAGAUUCCUCUCACAGCACACCCAACCACAUUCAAGUUAAACUUGGCCAGCAAACUAACCUCUUUGCAAUCACAUUAGCACUCAGCAAAUUAACUAUUUCUUCCUAUCUAUGUAAAUAUCACAGCAUAUUAUAGCAUACUCUAAUCCAAACCUCAAUCAGACAUCAAGAAUCACCCUAAAAAACGCAAUUUUUUCAUAAAGAUUGAACCUUUCUCAUCCAAAGCAAAAAAAGAAAAGCAACCCAGACCCCAAACAAUCUCAAAUCAAUCAAAAUCCACCUAAUUAAAAGAAAAUAACAGAAAAAGAACACAUAAAAUAUAUAGAAAUGAUAAGAAAGAGACUGCCAACCUUCUCUUCUCGUUUUGAAUCUGAUAAAGAAGCUGAACUCUGAUCGGCAUAGAUUAAAAGAUCGCGAGUCUGUCUAACUAUAUCGACAGGAGUCCUCCGCACUGGAUGUCCCGAUUUCGAAUUACUCAACAGCCCAUAAUAUCCCUUUGUCGCUACUGCCGCUGCCGCUGCCGGCGCCGGUGAUUGUGGCGGUGGCGAUACUCUCCUCACCACUACCUCCUCCCGGGCUGCUGCUGCUGCGGCAGCUGGUUUUGACACGCAGAUUCCUAUCUUUCCUCCCUUUAUAAACCCCACAAAAACACAAGAAAGCGAUUUUGCCUUCUAUCUACGAAAAGGGUUCACGGUUUACUUGAUUUCAGCCACCAAUUUUGCUUUUGGAUUAUUGGGUUUUUAUGGGAUCUUGGUCAAAAUGUGUGCUUGAUUCGACGGUUAUGGUUUUUUGGGCUCUGCAUAAACAGAUUGCCAGUCGUUACCGUGUCACUAACCGCUAAAUACUUACAGUACAGUGCUAUUUUUUCUUACGUCUUCAUUUUCUCUAUUAUUAUUAUUAUUAUAAAAAAAAUUACAAAUUCACUAUGACCGUCUCACAAAAGCACUGUUUAUUAUAGUUUUAAAAAUAAUAUUUUAAUAAAAAAUCCAAAAAAUUAAAAUUCAUCAACGGUGUGAUAGUUAGUUAAACAGGUCAGCUGAUUUUUUUUUUCCAACUCGAAUGGCUCCAUUCAUAGAUUAGAUUAACUGGGUCUAAGCUGAUUUAUCGGGUAGUCUAGGUUGUAAAACAAUUUUGAUCAUAGUUCUAGAUCAUGAAUUUAAUAAAUUAAUUUAAUUAUAUAUAUUAUUAUUUCAAUUUUAAAAAAAAAUUGUCAUUUUAAAAAAGAUUUUCAAAGUCAGUUUUUAUCUGGCAUUUAGGUUAAUAUUUGACCUGUCAAAUUCAUUAUAUUAUAUUAAAUUAACUCUAACAUGAUUUUGAUUUUAAAUUUGAAUUAAAUAAAAAGAAUUCAAAACUAAAUUAUUUCUCUAAAUUUAAUAAUAUUAUCAGAAUAUUACUCGUUGCCUAAUUUUUAUACAUUUUGUUUUUGUUCGGCUAGUAGCAUAACGUAAUUAUCCAGUAAUCGAUCUAAUCCAUUUUAAAAAUUUUUAAUAUUAACAGCUAUAUGUGCAGGGAAUAUCAAGGGGUAAGUUCAGAUUGUAAUAAAAGGGACUUAUUCCAUUCAAACUUCUUAGGUUUGGAAACAAUCAUUGGCAAAUUUAUUUUUAAUUAGUCUUAUUCAUAAAAGUAUCCUAAGACAAUCAUUUAGCUUCGACAUUGAUGCAAUAUUUAUAUCAAAAAAGUCUCUUUAGAUGUUUAAUUUUUAUGUAUCGUAAUUUUAUUUGUAUUUAUUUUAGUUAUACAAAAAAAUAAAGUAUACCUUUUAGAUCUACCUAUGUAUCUAACUGGUCCAAGUUUAAGAGUUUUUCAUAAAUAGACAGUACAAUGCUACUACUUGGAUUACCCUAUAGGUUAAUCUGAAAUCUAAUUAAUUCAGAAUUUGGAGCGGUUUAAAUUAAAUAAAUAAAUAAUUCAGUUGAUUUGAUAAAAAAAAAAUUUUAAGUUAACUUAUUGAUCGGUCAACACCCGGCCCUCAAUUUUUUAAAAAAAAAUUAUAAAAGAAAAAUAUUAUUUUUAUCAUAUUAAAAAAAAAGAUUUGAGAAUUGAUUCAGGAUGAUCUUUUUAACUCAUAACCUCCUGUAUCUUAUCCCGGUCAACUCUAUAUCAAGUUUUACAAUUAUGUUAGAUUUAUUGAUCCUAACAGAAUUAUUUUAGAUCAAUAUCCAAAAUAAAAUUAUGAUACUAUAUUUAAUAUUAAAAUUGUAGUUGCGUAAAUUUAAUGAGUUUGUAAAGUAGAUAAUACCAUAAAAUUAUCCUUUAUAUAGGCUAUAUAUAAAAGAUACCAAAUAAUAAUAUUAUUCAAUUCACGAAAUUACCAGCAGCCAUAACAACACAAAUAAAUCAUAGCAAACAAAGCAAACACACAUAUUUUUUCAUGGAGUCUCUCACGCACACAUCACUGUUCUCUUGUCACCACCACAUAAUUAGACCAAAGUAAUUACAAAAUAAAGAAGAGAAGGCAAAAGGUUUCAUCAUCAAACUUAACAUUACCAAUUAUCUAAGAAAAUAGAUCCAUUUCCAACUGCCUGGAAAUCGUUCUGUACAGUCCUCCAAUAUUUACUGAUCGAGUAGCAUUGCCUUCAGAAAUCUGUUGAGGGCUUUUCUCACUUUCAAGUACACUGACGACUUCGGACAUUUUAGGCCUGAGAGUAGGAGAUGGAUUAACGCACUUCAUUGCCACGUGCAAAACAAUGAGAGCCUGCCUUUUGUCGUAAUUGGAUUCUAAUUUCUGGUCCACCAAUUCAAUGAUUUUUCCCUUAUCGUUCAAAACAGCAGCCUGCAAUUGAAAAGCAAGAUUAGCUUAGCUCCCAGUAUUAAUGAAAUAAUCAAGUAAUUAUUACUUAUUAUUUUCUAAUCAAUUAAAAAAAUCAAGGAAUUAAAUAACUCUAAGCAAUCAAGAAAUUAUUUCUAUCAUCCAGUUAAAGGAGAUGAUCAAGCAUAUUUUUUAUAAUUUAUUUUAUUCUAUUUACUUAUAGGUAUUGUUAUAUGACUAUAUAAACUCCAUAUGAGUUGAAUGUAACAUAUAUAUUAAAUUAUCGAAUAAUAAUAUAUAUCCUCUCAUAUUCUAUUUUUUUUUUUGGUAUCACAGCAGGUUGAUUAUAUACUACUCUAAAUAUUAGCUUUUGUUUUUUUGAUGGACAAUUUUAUGCCAUCAAUCCAAUAAUUUUAAAACACUUUGUUUUCAAACUCUUCAUUAUCUAUCAAAUAUUUAAUUUACUAUUCCUUUUCAAUGAUAAAUCAACUCAUAUAAGGAAAAAUUAUCACAAGUCAUCUAAUGUUGGCAGAACAUGUUUGGUUUGAAAAAAAAAAAAAACUAAGAGGGUUUAUCCUGUCAAAUACACUUACUUUAUCCAGAAGAAACUUAGCUUCUUGAUUGGGUGUAUAUUCUGCACUAACUGUCCCGCUAACUAUUUCGAGUAGGACAACUCCGAAACUGUAAACAUCAGCUUUAACAGUAUCUAUUGCUUUUCCCAUUGAAUACUCAGGUGCCAUGUAAACUCUGCAAUAGAAGAUUAAUUAUUGGUUAAUUAGCUCUUAAUUAAAAGAAUGAAAGUAGUUGUCGAUCAAUGAUCAUAAUACUUACCGCGACUCUUUUGCUUCGAUGGUCAUAAAUGGAUCUUCCUCACCACAAAGCGUUGCCAAUCCAAAGGCAGACAACUUGGCCGUAAGAGAGUUAUCAAGCAUAAUAUUACUAGGCUCCAUGUUUCCAUGAACAAUCUCUUUCUCUUCAUGUAAAUACUUCAAACCUCUUGCUAUUCCCAGACAGAUACCAAAUCUAGCUUUCCAAUCAAGUUUUGUCGUGGAAUUUGGUUCUACAAAUCAAGGUUAUUGAUAUUAAGUUAUUGAUAUUUGCAAGUACACAAUCCUUGUACUAACAGAAGAUUUAAAUAUACAAUUAGAAGCUCUCACAAACAUUAAGUGACGGAAUUCUAUUUACUCCUAUGUUAUAGUUCUCAACAAUUAUAUGAAUUUCGCAAGGCAAUGCAUUAGGUGAAAAUUAAGAUAAAACUUGAGAAUCGAAAGAGCAGGAUGAAAAUUGGUUGAUGGCAGUAUUACCGAACAACGCACGUUGAAGGGAGCCUUUCUCCAUAAUAUAUUUGAAUAGCCACCCCAUAAUUGAACAAGAUUCUCAUGUUUCAAAGAUUUCAGUUUGGGGAUUAUUUCCCCUUGUAAUUCAUCUUUUCCUUGUUGCUUUGAAUUACGAGGAGAAAUCUUCAUCACUGCUAAUUUUCUCUUGUUCGGCAAUUCAGCCUGCAUACACGUGAAAUCAAUUUACCAGAACUCUGAAAGAAAAAAGUGCAUGUUGAGGAACAAAUGUUUCAAAAAAGAAAAUCUGACCUCGUAUACUAUUCCAAAGCGUCCCCCGCCAAUCUUCAUUUUGGGGCUAAAUUUUCGAGUAGCAUCGAUUAUUUCUUUGGGGGUGAAACGUUCUCCAUCUCCUUUAUCUCUUUUAUCUCCUUUAUCUCUUUUAUCUCCUUGAUCUCCUUGAUCUCUUUUAUCUCCUUGAUCUCUUUGAUCUCUUUUAUCUCCUUGAUCUCGUUGAUCUCUUUUAUCUCCUUCAUCUCCUUCAUCUCCUUCAUCUCCUUGAUCUGCUUGAUCUGCUUCAUCUGCUUGAUCUGCUUGAUCUGCUUCAUCUGCUAGUUCGAACGGUAUAGUUUUAUCUAUUUGAAGAAAACAUCAAAGUAAGAAUUCUUAAGGUUGUAUGGUGCAUAAUGAUUUUAGAUUAGCAUAGAGAGGUACCAUUCAAAUCGCUUUGCUGCAGCCAGCCCAUUUUCCACAUGUAAGCCGACAGAAGUAGAGAAGCAAAUACUGAACCUGCAAUAAUCCCUGCAAUUUGUGAAGGAGAUAGUUUCUUGCCGCCAACUUUGAAGUCUGUACACAAAUAGUGGAAGACAGAAAGAAUAAAUUAUUUAUCCAGAUAAAGUGUACCAGAAAUCUUCGCGCAACAAAAUUAAGAGAAUGCAACUCUUUACUUGCAGUUACGGAAAUGCCUGACACAAGGGGUCCAUUUAGAGACAGUGCAGCAGGUGAAUUGAAAAAUCUUGGCUCCAGGAAAGUUCCUUUGCCAGCCCGGAAAAAAUGGAUAGUCAAUAGAUGAUCAUCUCCUACAUAUGCUGAGAAAUCUUUGCUCCAUGUCUUAUUGGUGCCGCUGGCCAUUUCUUUUAUGUUGAAGUCUUUUAGUGUUCUGUUCCCCUAUAUCAAACAGUGGAGGUUUAACGAUGGAAAUUUUUUAAAGAAGCUGCAGAAAAAUAUAGCGGUUACCUGUAUAUAUACAUCAAAAACACGUUUCCCUAAAUUCGAAUAAUCUUCAUCACUUUGGUAAACAGUUUCAGCGAAGUAAAGUUUCACAGUGUAAUUUCCUUUAAAUAAACAGAAGCCGUAAUAUGUCAGAGAAAGAGGGCAGAGGCGAGUUGAGCUGUAUAACGGUGUCGCAGCAGAAUCACAAACUCCACAAUCCACGUUUUUUAUGUAAUCACUGGAAUCGUAAGUUUUCGAUCCGAAGUCUCCAGAACAAGAAUAAGCCCAAUUUUUUCUUGGAGCUGAAUAAUAAUUUGAUGUUGCACUAUCUGCUUCAAACUCUUUCCUAUCAAAAACUGUGCCUUCUCCUCCACAAUUUAUAUAUAAGGAAUCGUCUGCAAAAAAUGAUAAUCAGUACAGAAAAUCUGUCCUGCGCUAAAUUAAGAGCUUCUCAAUAGAACUUACACUUUGGUUUUCCCCGACAUUUAUCUGUCAAAUCACGUAUAGAAUUCCUAGAAAUAGCAAACAACAUUUGUAAGAAAUAGCUCAGGAUUAUUUGCUCUAAAUUAAUUGCACCAUAUGGAGGAUAUUACCAUACCUGUUUGGUUCACUGCUUGAGUAGGAACAAAAUGCAAGCAGUUGGUGCACAUGAUACAAAAUGAUCAGAAGUUGGAAUUUCAUAGACAACAAUAUUCUUGCAAGUGAAAAAAAAGGAGGAAGAAAAUGAAGUAGCCGUUAUUACAUGUUUAGCUUUCCUUCUCCUUUCUUCGGACCAUCACGUGGAAUUUCAAAAUUAUUAUAUGACAAGUCCCUGCAACAUUAUUGUUUACAUAUCAAGAUUUUAUUGAGGAAACCUACAAAAGGGAAAACAACCCAUCUGAGCAAAGAGCACAAAGCCAUAACAUACGCCUUGUCUUCAAUGUUAUCAGUAACCCAGGAAGGUACGGUGCCAUUAAGCAUAUUUCCUGUGAGAAACCUAAACAAAACAAACCAGUAUGAAAACCAUCCCAUGUACUUUUUAACAGAGUGGCAGAACGAUCUUAUUAUAAGACAUCGAGUUCAAGGAAUCUCUUUUUCAUACAUCUUACUUAAAUUCAGCUUUUCCAUGGAAUCUGGUAUUCCACCCGUUAAGUUGUUAAAGCUCAAGUCUCUGCAGGAUCAAUAAAAUGAAAGCAAACGUUAUCCUACAUAUUUGAUAUAUAGUUGUGCUAUGGUCAAUUAUUGCAUAGUUGAUUCUGUAAACACAUAGUCAAAAUCAUCAACACUUCCUAUGCAUGGCCUAAAGGCCUAAUCAAAAUCAAAAUAGAGCGGAUGAAACAAAGUAGCCAUGAGAGAACUACAAAUCUUUUACAAAAGAGGAAAUGAAACUUACAGGUAUUUUAACCUUGACCAAUCACCAAUGUACGGGGGGAUUUCACCACUUAUUGAGCAAUUCCUUAUCACCCUACACAAACCAUUGAAGAAGUUGGUGUUUGGAUUUAUCCAAUGCAUCCAUAUCAUUAAGAGUCACGUACAUAAAUAUUGACAAAACAAUAUAAAACACAACAUUGUGACAUCCAGGAUAAAUUUACCAUAGUCGUUAAUUAAUAUAUAUAUUUUAAAUUCUCAAACCUGAAUCCCAGAUACAACUAGUCUUCACAGCAUGUAAUAGCUCAUACAAAAAACUCAAGAUAAUAUAAAGAAAAAUAGGCCUAAAAAAAAUAUAAUCCAAAUUCUACAACAAUAACGCUCCCAGACAAAUAUAAUUCCAAGUGUGCAUGGUUUUUAUUAUUCAAUGUGAAAUUAAUCUUUAUACCAUAUCCACAAUUCUACAACGACUAUAGUAAAUUCCAGAAAAACUCACAGGUAUCUUAUUCCCGUCAUAUUUGCAUAUUUUGGGAAAGGGAAACCGGCCGAGCUUCUUACAUCACUAACAAACCUGGAAGAAAAACCAGCCAGAAUAAAACAUGCAUUUAUUUCAACCAUCCAGGUUAAAAUUAUAGAACACUUACAAGUAUUGGAGAUUUGGCAUGUUAAAAAGAAGUUCAAGAGGCAGCUGUCCUUCAAAAUCAUUCCCGGAGAGGGACCUGAAAUCAGUACACACAAAGACAAAUUAUUGAAUGAUAUUCAUCGACAGUUUCUCUGCUCAAAUGGUUGGAGGUAGACAUUCAGCAUUGAGAAAUCAGCUCAAUCAACUAAUAUUGUAUGAUUACAGAAAGUACAAGUAAUUUCUUACAGGUAAGAGAGUCCAUUCCAAUUCGCAAUGAAGUUUGGAACUUGACCGGUCAAACGGUUCCCAGCUACGCUACUGCAGCCAUAGUUAGUUACUUUUCCUUGGAACAAUAAUUAAACAGAUUGUUGGUUGAAAGAACAUGAUUAGUUGCACUUACAACCACCGCAAUUGAUCCCAAGUACUAAAGUUGGCGUAAUUUCCCGGCAGUUCUCCACUCAAAUUGUUGGAGCCCACAUCUCUACAACAACAAAUCAAAAGGAUUGUAAUCCACCUUUUUUCUGUUUUAUUUCUCCUCUUUCUAUCUUCCGUGGUUUUACAAGGUGGUAUGAUAUUAUUAUUCUUCUUCUUGAAACUUACAAAUGAUUUAGAUAUUUCAAUUCUCCAAGUUGUGGUGGAAGCUGACCAGUGAGUUCAUUGAAGCCCAAGUCCCUAAUUAAAUAAGAGAUAUGAACCAAACCAAACUAAAUAAGUAAAAGGAAAUUCAAGGAGAAUGAAAGAGCGAGCGAGCGAGUUUCUAUACAUAUAUCGGAGACUAGAGAGGUUGCCCAAUUCUUCAGGGAUUUGAUCUGAUAACUUAUUACUUGACAAACUCCUGAAAACACCCACAAGAAUAAGAGCACAAAACUUGCAUCAGCAAUGGAAAAAAAAUUUAAUUAACAUUAUAUGAUACUGAAGAAAUUGUGAUUGGAUGACACGUACAUAUGUUUAAGUUUCGUCAAAUUCCCCAUAGAUAAAGGUAUGGAGCCACUGAGGAAGUUUCUCGAGAGACGGCUAUGCAAAUAAGUUCAUUAUUACUCAAAUAAGAACCAAUAAUAUAAAUUUUAUGAAGACAAACUAAGAACUGAAAUUAGUUAUUAUAAAUUAUCCUAAAGCUAAGCAGCUCUUUGCUCAUAACCAUGCAUAUAUCCAAACAAGCAUUAACACAAUUAAGCAAUUAGCCAAACAAGGCUACUAUCCUAAUUACAUAAGAGAAGAGAACCAAACAGAACUAAGAAGUUAAUUUUUGUGACCAUUAACCAUAGUUAUAAAACCUGACCCGGGGGUUGACCCAGCCAAAAAGUCGAGUCUCGGGUUACACGGGUUGACCCGGGUCAACCCGAAAAAACAAUAUUUAAAAUUUUCAUAUUUCAUUUGAAAUUUUUUAAAAACAAUCAAUUUGAAUAUAAGUUAUACAUGUUAUAAAUAAUAAAAUUUAAAAUAUUAUUUCAAAAUAUUUUUUAUCCUACAUUGAAAAAACAUGACUUAAUUUUUUCUUAUAAACAUAUAGUAUAUUUACUAAAAGACUUCAAAUCCGACAUUAAAAUAAUAAAGUAUUUUUUUAGUAUUUAUAUACUAAAAUUUGAAAAUGGUUAAUAACCAACUAAAAAAAUAAAAUAAAAAAAGAGGAGUCUCUAACUAGGAGAAAAAACACAUUUGAAAAAAAAAAAAAAAAAGGAUCUCAACUGGGUUUUGUCGAGUUUUUGCUCAUUCCGGUCUUUUAUCUUACCCGGACCGGUUUAACAACCGAGUCAAUCAGGUCCCGGAUCGACUAGCAAGUCUAGUCCGGUUUUAAUAACUAUACCAUUAACACCUUGCCAUGAACAUUUAUAAGUAUCAAGACCCCAUACGGCUUGCCCUUAUUUUAAUUUCUAACAAAGCUAAUUUUACUGAAAAUGUUUCCCCAAAAAUUCUAUUAAAAAAUCUUUACAUUUACAAGUACAAGUAUAAUCUAUCAAUUGUCUAUUCAGUAACUUCUUCUUUAAUUUAAUGAAGCAAAUUUGAGUUCUUAACUCAAAUUUUCACCAUUAUAAUAUAAUUAUGUAGUCCUAAACACUAUAUUCUCCGAAUAAAAAUGAGAUCUUAACUAUUAUUUAAUGGAAUAUAAUUUAAAAGAAGUGAUUUUAGAAAACAAAAAUUAAUGUUAGAUUUGUAUAUAUAUACUCUGAAAAUGCAUGCUGAGACUAUAAUUUCAUAGAAUAACAGAAGUUACAAAUUGUAUGCUCUUUUCUUACCAUUAUAUAUUAUUUUUUAAGAGAACAGCAAUGGUAUAAAAUCAAACCCAAAUAUCCAAGAUGUUCUCCUAUAAUUCAUAUAAAAAUGGAUGUUCUUCGAUACCCAAGUCAAACGUUUUGGUUAGUGCCAUUUUUUUAAAAAAAAAAAAAAAUUAUGAUGGAUAGUUUGCUUUUAACUAUAUUAGAAAUAAUAAUUUAGUUUUGAAGCAUGAAAUCUAAAUCCUUAAUUAGGAAAAAAGUGAGGAUCUUUAAAAAUUGGACAUGGAAUGUUUCUGGAAAAAAAAUCAAUAUUAAUAAAAUACAUAUAAACACAUACAAGAAUAAGAGCACAAAACUUGCAUCAACAAUGAAAAAGGAAUUUAUUUGACACUGAAGAUGAUACUUACAUUAACUAUAUGAUACUGAAGAGAGUGAUUGCAUGAUACUUACAGAUAUUGGAGGGACGACGUCAAAUUCCCCAAGGAUGGAGGUAUGGAGCCACUGAGGAAGUUUGUGGAGAGAUCGCUAUGCAUAUGUGUUACCAUAUAAGUUUAUUAUUACUCAAAUAAGAACCAAUAAUUUAACUUUUAUGAACACGCACUAAGAACUGAAAUUAGUUAUUGUAUAUGAUCCAAAAGCUAAGCUGCUCUUUUGCACAUAAUUAUGCAGACAGCCAUUAAGAAAUUUUUGGAGAGAUCGCUAUGCAUAUGGGAAGUGGGAAGACAUUCACCGUACAUUAAUGGAAAUAUAACGAAAGAUUACAAACAUCGAAUCAAUGCAAAUUUCUUUGCUAGUAUUUUUGGGAGGGCACUUAUUUUCUAUUAUUUUUUUUACCUUUUCAAACACCCAUCUAAAUUAUACUUGUAAUAUAUUUUUCCUCUUUAAUGAAACAAUAUAAAAAAAAUUAUACUCGUAUUUAAUUUAACAUAUCUACAUAUAUUACUAUUAAAUAUUAAAAGAUUAUAAAAUUAUUUGGGAUAAUUAUAUAUAUAUAUAUGCCUUUUGAAUUAACUAUUGAAAUUAAUUAUUUUAAAUAAAGACUUUAAUUUAAUAAUUAAUGAUCAACAUCUGUUGUAUUCUAUCCGACCUUGGAUUGCAUCUGAUGCAGCCAUUGAUAGGUUGUGAUGGAUCAUAAUUUCGAGAUUGCCUUUACGGGCUUGAUCCGAACAAUGCUUUGAUUUCUUUGCUGGUAUUUUUGGGAGUAUGGUUGGAAUUCAUCUACACGCUGACCAGUUUAAUUGUUUAUUUAUAUGUAAAUUGACCCAGGAUAAAAAAGAUUCAUUAUCGGGUCUUCUCCUUUGAAUGUUGCCUCUGGAAUAACAAAAUUAGUUAACACACGACUAUGUCUUUUGUGAUGUGCAAUUUUUAUGUUCGUCGUUUGUUAUGUUAUGUAUAAAUUGUUUUUUGUUUUUCAAAAAUCAAUUCAGGAUAAAAAGAUUUUUUGUUGGGUCUUAUUCUUUUGUCUAUCACGUAAUAAAAUCAAUUAAUAAAAGACUUAAUUUGUCAUGUUUCUACAGUUUAAUUUUGAUGGCAUCAUUUCUCCAAGAACAGGAUUUAUUUUUAAUCAUGUCUUGAAGUUUUUUGUCGUUUAUACAAAAUCAACCCAAUUAAUAAAAGACUUUAAUUGUGUGGUUUUCCUGGGAUGUUGCAUUAACAAUAGGCGAGUAUUGAUUAAUGCACAAUGCCUAUUUAAUUUCUAUAAACAAAAUGUUAUAAUUUGGAUUCUAUGUGUCCUUGACAAUACCCUUCCAAUAUACUAUUCCGAUUAUUUAGUCAAACAGUUGUCUAGUCAAACAUAAUCUAAGCAUAGGAGUUGAUCGCCCAUAGUGACAAUAUUAUUUUUAAUUGUAAAUAUAAAUAUUUUAAGACAUUAAUAUUAUUUUUUAAUUAUAAAUAUUAAUUUAUCAUUUGAAUUUUCUCGUCUAGUUUGAAUGUGUGUUAAUAAUUAUUUAUUGUUUUAUUAUAUAUUUUUUGGAUCCAAUAAAUAAAUUUGGGCCGUAUCCAUGCAAUCCCACACAGGUCUGUUAAAAAUAAAUAGUGUUUUUCGUAACUAUUUCAAUAAAUGUUAUCUUUUAAUUAUAAAAGUAAAUAUUUUAUGAUAUUAAUAUUAUUUUUUAAUUAUAAAUAUUAAUUUAUCAUUUUUAAUUAUAAACAUUCAUCAAAGUGGAGAUUAGGUCAUAUUAAUACUCCUUUCAUUAUAGAAUUCUCUAACCAUUAAAUUAUCUACCCGAACUUUUAUAUCGAUUCUUUUAUUCACGAAAUAACACCUUUUUUAAAACAUCUCGCCAGGGCCUAGACUUCUAGCUAGACAAUAGCUUCCUCAUAUGUCAGACUUCUAGCUAGACAAUAGCUUCCUCAUAUGUCAUGUACUUCUAAACUUAAAUAUGUCUUCCUGCAAUAAAACUAGUUUAAGAGACACUUAACACUAUUAAGCAUAUAUUUAGGCUCUAAUUAUAAUUUAAAGUCUAAGAGUUAAAUUUCAAUAUUUAAAAAGUUAAUUUGAUCAAAUUAGGAGGUUAAGUGAAAAAAUAAGGGUUAAAUUGAAGUUUUUCAAAUUCUAAAUUAAAAAUUCUAAUUUGUAGGGUUUAGCUUAAAUGAUAUGUGGUUCAACUACUAUGCAUCCUUUUCUUUAAUAAUUUUUGUUGAUCUAAUAAAUACUUUUAAAUAAAUGAAUAUAGUGGCAGAAACUAUAUUCUUCUAUAGGCACUUUUGUUGUCCAAACUGCUGUAGUGGCAGUAUAUGAUCAUGGUACUGGAUCACUUACAGACGGUUGAGUGAACUCAAGUUCCCCAAGAUGGGAGGGAUGCUACCAUGAAGUUGAUUCUUGGACAAAUCACUGUUAUGGUAAUAGGAUAAUUAUCAAUGAAUUGAAGUCAGCAUAACUACUUCGAAUUAUUAUCAUCAUAUGUCAUAUGAUACUCACAUUGCAUUUAGGUGAACGAGACGAGCCAAGGCUUCAGCAUUUAUUUCUCCAGUUAAGUCCUGGUCUGGGAGCGUUCUACCACCCAAAAAUGGCGUCAACAUAGAAACCAGUGAGUUUUAAAGAGGAUGUAUUGCCUUACAAAAAUGAAAGAAAAUUGGAUGAAGUUGAUGAGGAACUUACAGGCCGGUGACGUGACAAACUGUGCUGUUCUCGUCAGUGCAAUCGCAUUUGAUGUAUUCAAAAUUAGAGGAACAAGCCGAGCGUGAGAUAUUUGGAUGAAAACCCCACUCUAACUUUAUCAGCAAGUCUUCCAAAGCCUUUUCUGCCAAACGUUUUCAACAAUGAAACAUCAUUUUUUUUAGCAAAAUUCAAACAGGUAGUAUGCAUUAAUUAGGUUGUUAUUAAAAAUCUCAUUAAUGAUGUAAAUUGAACUAAUGCAAAUUGAACUGUCAACAACAAGCAUGAAAUCGUGUGUACCUUCAUCUUCAGGCAAUUAAGGCAUGUCAUAUAAAUUUGUUGCUUUACAGACUACAUAGCCAAAUUGACAAAGAAGAAGAACGGCAAGAGAGGAAACAAGCUUAGGAAAGAGCUUAAGAUAAAGCUUAGCCAUUACUAUAGUUUGCAAUGCGACAUGCAUGGAAUCUACACAAAAAAAGCCCUCUUUGUUCAUAACUUAUUAUUAAUUGGGUCAUCUGAAAGAGAAGAUAUUGAAGGAAAAGCUCAUAUUUAACAGAUAAACAAAUUUUCUUCCUUCUUUUGUAUAUAGGAGGAAAAAGGAUAUAUAUGUAGAUGGAAAAGUAUAUCGUGCGUGUGUACCUUCAUCUGCAGGCAACGUGGCGUUUCUGUCAGAGGAAUUUGUUGAUUGACAGGCUACAUAGCCAAAUUGACAAAGAAGAAGAACGGCAAGAAAGCAAACAAGCUUAGGAAAGAGCUUAGCCAUUACUACUUUAGCUUGCAAUGCGCUUCCCUUGAGACGACAUACAUUCUUUAUAAAGAUAUUGUUUUACCGUUCAAACAGUUAUUAACUCUGAAUCAAUUACCUCACAUUACCAAAUUGUCCCUGUCCAAAUAUCAAAAUACCCGAGAAAAGUAACUUGCAAUACAUUCUUUUUACAUUGAUUUUUGGAACCAAGAUUGAUACAUAAUUAAUUCUAGUGGUUGCCGGAAAUAAUUUUGGUUGUUUUGUCUUAAUUAUGUGCUAUAAAAGAAUGAAAAAAACCUGAUAUUUUUUGCUUAAAAAAUCAGAUGUUUUUUAAUUAAAAUAAACAAUUUAUAAAGUGAAAGGUAAUUAUUCAGAUUGUUUAUUCAUAAACUGGAUAAAUAAAGUGGAUUGAUGAAAAAAUAUUUUGUUUAUCAAAAUAAAAACAAUGUUAUUUUAACUAAAAUAACUUGAAUUAACUGAGUUAUCUCAGAAAUUAAUUUCUUAAUUUAAAGUAUUUUUCGAGUUAGUUUUUUUUAUUUUGAAUCAAUAACAACAAUCAUUCUACACCUACACACUCGGAAAAAAUAAAUUUUUAACUGAUGACUCAACUUUUAAGUAGUAAAAUAAAAGAAUUAUCACUUAAAUUUGAAUGAGAAUUUUAUAUAAAAAAACUCUUCUAUGCCCAGCUAAAGGCUCUGCUGAAUGAUUGAACCCGUGGAAUCUAAACAUUGAGAAGUAAUAAUGCAUCUUUAAAAUUUAUGGUCAAGUCUUUGUUUAUGUUCAGCAUCUUUCGUCAAUCUUUUCCAUUUAAAAAAUCCAAAAGCUGAUAGCUUACCCUUCAUUUCUUGGGUCCAAUCGGAAAGUGAACAUUGACAAGUAAUAAUGCAUCUUUAAGAUUUAUGGUCAAGUCUUUGUUUAUGUUAAGCAUCUUUUGUUACCAUUGUCAAGUAAUAAUAAUAACCACCGUCAGUCCAGGUAAAGAGCAUUCUGUAAUGCUGCUUUGAAAACCAAAAAUUGAAUGUUAUUUUCAAGAUAUAAAUUUCAUUGGAUCUACUUUCGUAUAAAAAACAAACAAACAAGGACUUUAUUUCAUGUGGAUAUAAAUUUCAGCUCAAAUAUUAUAGCUCAACCAUUUUGUAUUCAGAAUAUAUUAUUUAUGCUAUUCUCACAUGAAAAGUCUUGGCUGUAAAAUUCUUGAAAGGAGAACAAUACACAGUUAUCUUCUAAGAAAUACUUUUUAUCAAAGUAGAAAACGUGCAAUAAACACGUUUUAUUUUCAACAAUAUAAAAGUGAUCUCAAAUUACAUUACGUAGGUCACACAAGAUAAAUCGGAAUUUCUUUGUAAGUUCCUGCUGCCCCUACUGCCCCAAAGUCCUCACCGGAUUCACUGAAACCAUCACGUGAUGGCCUGCCCACGUCAAAAAGAUUAUAAUUAUUGAUAUAUAUUCAGGUUUGUUAUCCUGAAAAAAUCAAGAAAAUUAGGAGACAAAGAUUCCUUAAUUUUUAUCAGGGCAUAGGGUAUAGAUGAAAUGGAAGUCAUCACCUAAUAUUUUAAUCACUAGAAACUCUAACUAGUCUCGGAAAUUAAGUACGAGAACUAAUUACGUAAAUGAAAGAUAUUAGCAUCUCAAUUACGCCCUAUUUAAAGUAACCUGCAUUGUUUGAUUAUUUGAUAAAAUCUAUGGUAUUAUCGUGUUUUUUAUUUAUUGAUUUGUCUAAGGUUUUAGAGAAAAGUCUUCAUAGAUAAGGAGGUUCUUAUCUUAUCAGAUAAAACCUAACUGUUAUAACGUCAAUAAAAAAAGCUACUUUUUUAAUAUCGAAAAGAUAGUUUACGUAUAAAUUCGUAAUCCCGAAUGCUAAAAAAACAAAAUAUGUUUUUGGGUAUUUUUGAAAUAUUGGCAAAUCCUACUAAUUUUGGUGUGAUAAUCUAGGCGCUACUUACUUAAUUAUAUGCAAAUCCUAUGUUUCAUGCUUGCUCUAAACAUGUUAAGGUUAACUAUCGUUUUGUCUGAGAUAAGGUUGCGAAGAAAGAGAUUCAAAUUCGUUUUAUCCCCUCUUACGAUCAACUUGCAGAUGUUCUUACUAAGUUGCUUCUUACUGCUCCAUUUAGUACCUUUCGAUUCAAGUUUCAGUCGAUCCUCCACUCUUAGCUUGAGGGGGUAUAUUAUAGAAUGUACCUAUAUAGAAAAUAUUAUAGUCAUAUUCUUGUGUUGUAAUCACCACCAUUAUUAUUGUAUAUUGCCCUACACAUAUAAAUAAAAAAGGUUCGUCAACCAAUAGAUUAAGCCUCCUAAUUAUUCUUAAUUAUAAACAUCUUUUGUUAUGUAUAAUUUUUAUAUUUGUGGUUUGUUAUGUUGUUAUAAAUUGUCUUUUUAUUCAUAAAUCAACCUAGGAUAAGAAGAUCAUUUGUUGGGUUUUAUUAAUUGGAUGUUGCGAAUCACGUAAACUUAAUUUUGCAUAUUCAUGCAAUUUAAUUUUGAUGGCACCAGAUUUACUUUUAAUUGUGUCUGGUAUUUUUUGGUUGUUUAUACAAAAUUGACCUAAGGAUUGGAAGACUUUAAUUUUGUGCUAUCCCUCGAAUGUUGCAUUAAGGAUAGUCGAGUCAAUUAAUGCUUAUUUUCUAUAUACAAAAUUUCAUUUUCAUAUUGUGCUAUAAUCUGGAUUUGUGAGCUUGGGAAUUCCCUCAGCAAUACCCUUUCAAAAUACUAUUCUAGUUAUCAAGUCAAUCAUAUUCUAACUAGGAAAAUCACGACAACAUUGUUUUUAAUUAUAAAUGUAAAUAUUUUAAAACAUUAAUAUUAUUUUUUUAAUUAUAAUUAUUAUUUAUAAAUAUUUAUUCAUCAUUUGAAUUUUCUACGUCUGGUUUGAAUGUGUGUGAAUGAUUGUUUACUUGUUUUAAGAUAUAUUUUCUUGAUACAGGAAGUGAAUUUGGGAUAAACCCUAUGUAGACCUAUUUUUCAUAUUCAUUUCAAUCUAUAUUAUCUAGAGCGUGCUCAAGCCCUUCAGUUGCUCACAAUUCUGCAAGUCCAAUGUACAUCUUUAGUCAAUCUCUUAGCAUAACAAAUGUUUUUAAUUUUUAAAACAAGUAACAAAGCAAUUUACAUUAAAGUAGGAAGUAUAUAGUAAUUUUUAUUUUUUUAUUAUAUAAUACCCUUAAUAAUAAUCUCUGGAAAACUAAUUAGGAUUUCCUUAAUUGACAGAAAGCUAAAUGACAUAUCACUGAGAUGUCAUUUUUAAUAGAGGUAAACUAUUUGCAAGACAUCAGCAUGCUUAGGUAAGCUAAGUGACCCUUUAUUGUCGAAUAUUGAAAGAAUCCUUAGGUGGUUUGAUUUGUGCUCCUGUCAGAAAGUUUGCUUCACAGAAGACCCCUAGCUGAUCUGGAAUUCAGUAAAGGAAUGGCUGCUGUUCUGAGAUGUCAAUCCUACCUAUGAAAUAUCCAGGCCUACCAGUAGGGGCCACUUCAAGACUCCUUACGACAUGGAAACCAGCGCUGGAUAAAACCAAAAAUGAUGUGAUUUUAGGAAAACAAAAUGUUAGAUUUGUAAAUAUAUAUUCUGACGAUGCACGCUAGCUGACAACUCAAGUAGCUAUGCAUCUGGGACUCAAUAAUUGCAUCCCCAAAGAUAUAUAUAUAUAUAUAGUCGAAGCUAAAUAACUACAGCCCAAAGACCGAAUAUCCGAGGCAGAAGCUAAAUGUAUCAAUUACAGGGAUUCUUGAAUCGAGUUACAUAGAAUAUCUUAUUUUUGUUAGUUUUAUUUUAAAAAUUGUAGUAUAUUUAAAAUAAAGAAUAUGUUUGGACAAAUGACUGCAACAAAAUAAACAGCAGCAGCAGUAAAUAAGCAUGGUACUGGAUCACUUACAGAGAGUAGAGUGAAGGCAAGCUCCCCAUGGUGACGUCAGGGGAUGCUUCCAUAAAGUUGAUUGUUAUCCAUCAGUUGAGGUCAGCAUGAUUGCUUCGAAUUGUCAUCAUCACAUGUCAUAUGGCUUCAGCGUGGAUUUGUCCGUCCAAUUCGCGGUUUGAGAGUUCUCCACCACCCAAAAAAGGCAUUAACAUAGAAACCAGUGAGUUUUAGAGAGGACGCAUUCCCUUGCAAAAAUAAAAGAAAAUUGGAUGAAGUUGAUGAGGAACUUACGUGACAAACGUGUUGUUCUCAUAAGUGCAACUGCAUUUGACUUCAUCGGUAGGACGGUAAAAAAAAACAAAAACAAGGUUUUUUAUAUCUAUUUAUCAUUCAUUAUAAUUUAUUUUUUAUUUUCUCAAUUUUCGAUUUUUUUAUUUUUCGAUUUCUCAAUUAUAAUCUAUGGAAGAGAUUAUCACCUAAGAGUGAAAAACAACUUCUUCUGUUUUUACUAGUAUAAAUGGGGGUCACACUAUAAAACAAGGGAGAAAUUAGUUAGAGAGGAUUAGCAUAAAAAAAAUACUAAACAUUCUAUCUUAAAAAACCAAAAAAGAGAGUAAAAAAACCAUGACCCAUCACACCCUCCAGGACACCCACAUUUAAAUAAAACUAACAAGACCAACUCAUCAUCUUCAAGCUCCCACUGUCACCACUAAAGAAAAAAGAAAACUUAAAUUCCCAUAAAAAAAAUUAUGCCUUCCACUGCUGCAAAACAUUCAAAACUCCAUAACUAGCCAUCGAUCCUUUUUUCUCUAUCAAGUAGCAAAAAAACAGAAAGAAAAAGAAACAUGACAGACCCAAUAAGGGGCGGAGCUGGAAUUAUUUAACAAGGAGGGCCAAAACUAAUAUAAUAAGAUAUAAUUUUUUACAUGUAAACCAUACUAACAUAUAAAACAAAAUUAACAUAUUAAAAAAAAAUGAUAUAUAAAAACAAAUCUAACAUAAAAAAUAAAAUUAUUGGUUCCUAAAGAAAAAAACUUAAAUUGAAUUAAAGUUGGGUAUGUUCUCUUUAAAGAAUCUAAUUUGGCUAGAAAGAUCGUGUCAAAUUGUAUAUUGGACCUAGUGAUAGUAAGAUACAUGUGAGAAAAAAUUGAUAAUUUUUGUUGCUACCCAAUUUUUGACCCAUGUUUUUGAUAUAUUUUCAAAAAAAUCCAAAAAUAGAGAAAAACAAUGAAAAUCCAAAAAAAUAUGUUUUUUAAUAUAUUUUCGUCCUUUUAGCAUUUUCAACGUCGUCUAAAAAAAAAAAAAAAAUUUUUCAAGCGCGUUCGACUUUUCACGCGUCAUUUUUAAAAAACAUUGAUUUUCCUCGUUGAGUCGACGUUGAUAUUGCUCGUUUUCAAAAAAUACAAAAAAAAUAAGAAAAAUCAAAAUUUACAAAAAGAAAGAAGUUGAGGGACCAAGUUGAAAAACUUGGCAACAUUUUUGCCUAUAAAUAUUGGUCUUUAACUCACACAAAAGAGGGGUUAAUUUGGGGACAUUGAGAAAAAACACAAAAACCCUAAAGCCCAAACUUUUCUCUCCACUCAAAACAACUGGCCGACGGCGCCUCCCCCCACUGAUUUUGAAUUUUUUUGUUGUUCCCCGGGGUCCUUGGAUUUUGCUCUCCCAAAACCAGAAAGCCAAGGACCCCCCACCAUCGGAGCCACACAUUUGACCCACACGGUUCACCAUACUCUCGCCUUCUCCUCAGUCGGCCAACAGAACAAACGAAAUCGCCCCACUGAUUUUUUUUUUUUUUUGAUUUUUUCACCAGCCGCCGGCCAAAGCUUCAUCUCCUGAACCCACACAAGACAACCCCGUCUCCAGCUUUUCCCUCUCCGCCGAACACAAACUCUCAGCCCCGCAGACGGUGCCCAGUUCAUCUGCCUCCAGCGAGCUCGACCACUGCCCACCAACCAUCAUCGACUUGGACCGGUCUUCACUGAAACCAACCCGGAGCAGCCCGAACACACCGGCCAACCACAGUCUUUCUUCCUCCAGUAGCGCCGCCCGAAGUAGAGGGGAAGAAGAUGAAGCCCAGCGCCCGCCGCGGCGCAAUCCACUAGUCGCCUCACCAUCUUCACCAUGAGCCGUAGCAGCUCCAUCCACGACAGAUCUUCCUUCCCCUUUGCAACAGAACCGUCGCCGAAGAAGAAGAAAGGAACCACGGACAGCAAAAAAAAAUAAAAUUAAAAGCAGAUCUGAAUAAAAAACUAAAAUCAAUUGCUUGCUGUGUGUUGAGGUUUGCUUUGCAGGUGACUGCCGACGACGAAAGGAUGAGUGGAAAAAGCCGAUCCCCCCUGUUGCUGCGUUUUCUCGUGGAGGCGCGUGAACCCACGCGCCGCUAGUGGCGGUGGCGCGUGGGAAGACGCGCCGCCACUGAUUCUCUGCACCAGAAGCCUCCCAGUACUGUUCCCGUGCACUGUUCCUGCAUGUUCUAGAAGCCUUAGGAUGUUUUAGAGGCUGUUUUGUGAUUUUAAAUUGUUUGAUGUUUUUUUUAUUUAGUUUUUGGAUUUUUAUUUGUAUAUUGUAAAUGUGAAUGUAAUAAGGAAAAGAAAAGAAAGAACAAAAAUAUAGUGAAUGUGUGUGAUUGUAUUUGUUUUAUUUUUUAAAUAUAUUUCUUAUUGAUAAAAUUGCAGAUAUUAAAGAAGAAUUUAAUUUUUUGAUUGGAUCACGGUUAAGAAUUAUUAACUUAUACGUAAGUGAUAUUUCUAAUUUCCGAUGAAAAGACAAUUAUUAAAACUUCUUUAACACAUCAAAAAUCGCGAAGCAGCUUACCUCAGGUAGGGUGCGAUAGGGGUGCUAAUACCUUCCCUAACCGCAACCAGUCCCUUACCCGUGAACCUCUGACGAGACCAGUACAUCUGGUUUCCUAGUAGCCCGCAAUCAAUUACUAGGUGGCAACUCCAACGAACCAAAUUCAAACAUUACGCAACAACGAAAAAUCGCCAGCCGAUGCCGCGCGCUGAUUUUUUUUGGGGUGCGACAAUUUUGACGACUCUGCUAAAAACAAAAUAUAAAAAAAUCCAAGCUUAAUCGAAACAAACCCAUAAAAUAUAUCCAAUUUAUUAGAAAAAACGACAUUCCCUAUAACAAGAAAUAAAAAAAAUGGUAAAAUUAGUAGAUCUAGAAAAAACAAAUAGCAUAUAUAUAUAUAUAUAUAUAAACCUCAUCAAAUUCUUAACAAAUGUCGCACCCAAAAAAAAAAUCGAUGGUCUUGCUGAAGCCGUAGCGGAGAUGGGCUUGCUGUCGAUUGUCAGUUGAAGGAGGAGAUCGGUGGUUGCUUGCUGCUGUGGUCGGGUCUGUUCGUUGACCCGGAGAGGGAGAAAGGGGGAGUGGCCAGCUGCUGUGGUGGCCGUCGCGGCUGUGGAGGGCGAUGGGUCGACUGUUGCCCUGUGGCUGAGGGAAGGGAGGCCUGAUCCGGUGUGAGGCUGAGCUCGGGCUGUUGAAGCUACGGUGGAGCUGGCGGCUGCUGGUCUGUGUUGUCGGCUGAGAAGAAAACCAGUGGUGAUGGAAACCGAAGGAGGAAGAAGAUAGGCCGGCUAUUGAAGGAAAUGAGGGGGCUGGGAGUGUCGCCGCUGGUGAGGGAGAAAGGAAGAAAAAAUCAAACUGGGGGGUUUGGGGGGGGGCUGUUUGGCCGGUGUUCAAAAAAUGCAACAAGGUGGGGGCGGCUGUGUUUUGGCUUCAGGAGAAGAAGGCUCGGGAAAAAAAUUCAAAGGGAGGGGGGCGGCAGGCUUGGUAGAAAUAGGUUUAGGGUUAGGUUGUUUUUUUUUAUAUUUUUUUGUUAUUUCAAAAUUGCCCCCCUUUUUUAAUAUGAGUUGAAGACCAGUAUUUAUAGGCAAAAAAUGUUGCCAAGUUUUUCAACUUGGUCCCUCAACUUCUUUUUUUUUUUAUAAAUUUUGAUUUUUCUUAUUUUUUUGUAUUUUUUGAAAACGAGCAAUAUCAACGUCGACUCAAAUACGGAAAAUCAAUGAUUUUAAAAAUGACGCGUGAAAAGUCGAACGCGUUUGAAAAUCUUUUGAAAAAUUAAAUUCUUUAAAUAAAAAUUAAAUUCUUUUUAGACGACGCUGAAAAUGCUAAAAUGACGAGAAUAUAUUAAAAAAUAUAUUUUUUGGAUUUUCAUUGUUUUUCUCUAUUUUUGGAUUUUUUGAAAAUAUAUUAAAAACAUGGGUCAAAAAUUGGGUAGCAACAGAUGCCCCCUCUUUACAAUGCUUACGAAGCGAAAAUCCUCAAAAUUUUGCAUAGUAAGCUUUGUAUGGGUGACGAACCCAAGAAAAUGAUGGUCUCAUUGUAUGGGUGACGAACCCAAGAAAAAUGAUGGUCUCAUUGUAUGGGUGACGAACCCAAGAAAAAAUGAUGGUCUCAUUGUAUGGGUGACGAACCCCAGAAAAAUGAUGGUCUCAUUGUAUGGGUGACGAACCCAAGAAAAUGAUGGUCUCAUUGUAUGGGUGACGAACCCAGAAAAAUGAUGGUCUCAUUGUAUGGGUGACGAACCCAGAAAAAUGAUGGUCUCAUUGUAUGGGUGACGAACCCAGAAAAAUGAUGGUCUCAUUGUAUGGGUGACGAACCCAAGAAAAAUGAUGGUCUCAUUGUAUGGGUGACCUACCCAAGAAAAAAUGAUGGUCUCAUUGUAAUGGGUGACCGAACCCAUAAAAAUGAAUGGUCUCAUUGUAAUGGGUGACACCCAGAAAAAAUGAAGUGGUCUCAUUGUAUGGGUGACCUACCCAAUGGAAAAAAUAUGAAACGGUCUAUUGAUGGGCGACCUACCCAGAUGGAAAAAAUGUGAUAUGACAAGUGUGAAAAAUAGGACUUACCUGGCGAAGUCUGAAGGGAUGACAGAAGAAAGGGCUGGAAAACUUGGUGCUUCCUGAUAAUUCCCGAUCAUAGGGUUUGAAAACUCGGUGUUUCCUGACUGCAAGGGUUGAAAACUCGAGGCUUCCCGAUUGCAAGGUUGAUCUAUUCAUUUCUUUGGGAUUUUCCUAAUGGUAGGGUUCAUCCCAUCGUCCUUUUAUUCCAUGAUCAAAACCGAUUCUUUAUUAUCAUCACCACAAUGCUUCUUUCUCUUUCCACCAUCUUGCUGGACCUCAUUAAGGAUUUUCCUGUAACAAUUCAAAAAUAUGUGCAAAUGUUUUUUUUUUUUUUUUUUUUUUGAGGUUAGAUGAUAUGCAUGCAUCCUUACCUGAUUUGAAAUAUAGGUCCCCCCUCUUUGAUGCUCCAUCGUCAUAGGGUGCCCUUGUUUGUAUCCCAAAGCUUUCUUUGUUCUUCCGAUGCAUUGGCUCAUUCAUGUGUUAGCCAUCCACUCAGCUGUAAAUGCAGUGCCCAUCCCGGGCUGUCUUCGACAAUUACUGCUUGCAUCGUUCAUCAAGCUUGACCCUGCCCCCAAGUGUGGUACUGCUUGAUUCAUCAUGAAGGAUUUUCUCUCCUGGCUUCUUCUGAGAAUUAUCCUCUGAUUGAUUGUGUGCAUCAUGCCAACACCCAUCACGUUUGUUAAUCAGUCAUGAACUUGCCUUCGGUUGAAACACCAUUCAAGUAUGUAUGGUCACCAGCCUUCAUGGAACUGCCAAGUCAUCCAGACAUGUAUCUCAUGCUUUGCAGUAAACAGCUCAUCAUUGUAAGCGCGAUGUAUUUCUCUAUGGAUUCCUCUUAGCUUGUCAAAUCAGAUCGUGAAAAUACCUGCUUUGGCAUCAUCAAUGAUGUUCAUGUUAUCACCCAUAUUCAUGCGGUGAAGUGCGCAUUUGAGCUUCAGAAUAGAUGGUCCCAUCGUAAAUCUUGGUGGUAUGCAUAUGUUCGAUGUUCAUCCAAAUGCACUCACCCGAUAACAUCUGUCCGGAGUCAUAUCCAUGUUUUACAAAGUAACCUAAGAUGAAGAUAUGAAAAUAUCUUUCUAGUGCAGCGUUGCUCAUCAAUUGCUGCUGAAGUGCACUAGAUCAUGGAUUGUCUUUGAACAACAUUGGCCCCAGUAUGAUCUGAAGGUUUGUUCAUCGGUUUAUACUCAAGAAAGUUUUUCUUUGUCAUUGUCAUAACACAAUUUUGGGUUAUUCCCCAAAUUUCACUUUUUUUCAAAAUAAAAAUAAAAAAAUAGAAUAAAUGCUGGCACUGUGGAGGAAGAAGAUAAAAAAAGACUGCAAAAAUAGGCAAAAAUCGAAGGUCAAAUUAAAUGCAAAUUCGAAGGUCAAAUUAAAUGAUUAUUGGAUGAAUUUGCAUAAAAAUUAAGUCCAAUGACAUAAUUAAAUUUUUAAUGGGCCAAUUUGAUUUAAUCAUGGGCCAAAUUAAAUUUUAAUUAUGUUUAAGAAUUAAUUUAGGUCAAAUUGAAGGAUUUAAUUAAGUGCAAGGACUUAAUUAUACUUUAAAUGGGUCAAAUUAAUUUGGGGACUUAAUUGGUGAAAAAUUAAGUUUGGGAGUCUAAUUUGGACUUAAUUGAAAAGAUUAAAAUUUUAAGAGACCAAAUUUAAUUUUUCACCAAGUGAAUUGAUUGAAAAAUUGAGGGACCAAUUUUGAGACCCGAAAAGAAUGGCUUGCCUAUAAAUAGCAGCUUACAAAAUUUGGUAGAGGGGGGGUUCAUUUUGUAAUUUUGGGAAGAAAGAGAGAACCCUAAAAAACUAAAAUUUGAAAGCAGCCGCCAGGGAGACCCCCCCCGUUUUGGGAAAUUUUUUCCUUCUCCGAUCACAGCUGCCAGCUCCCCUUUUGAUUUAUUUUUCCUUCUCCCUCAGUCGGCCACCACCCUUCUUUCAAAAACUACCCGAAGCCAUCACCAUUUUUUUUUCCUUGCCAAAAAUCUCAUCCCCUGUGCACCAGCCUCAUUUUACUCCUCUCAACUCAGCCCUCAUUUUUCUAUGGCGUAGGGACCACAACAACCUCUUCUCCUUCUCAGUUACAGGAACAAAAGGCAAACCGGAGCAGCUCUUGACAACCAUUCACCCCACUCUCUGAAAAUCAGCCGGACAGUCAGCCACAACUCCUCUCUCUCUCCCCGGACGAUCUGACUUCCAGCACCUUCUCCGGCAACCGACACUCCCUUCUUCAUCCUCGGCGACCAGCCACAACAGUGUUGCCAUCACUGGAGACCCAGCAGCACAGACCUCGGCUGUUCCCUCAACAGGCGGCCAACAGCAACGACGAAGCAGCACCGAGAACCAGCCGCCGGAAGAAAUAGCUCCACCGUAGCUUCAACAGACCCAGCUACAACAGUGCCCGCAGGCCGGCCACUGAAUGGAGUCCUGCACAGAAGCAAGUCGUCGUCUUCCUCCAGCGCUCCUUCCACGACAAACUGACCACCUGAAGAAGGAGAAAAUGGCAAACCGAGAGAGAACAUAAGGAUUUGAACAGAUCUGAAAAAUAAUCAAAUAAAAUCGACUGUUUGUGUUCCUUUCUUUGAUUGCAGGUGACGGGCAGCAGGAGAUUGAAGAGGGGAGGAAGCCAUUACAGCCCCCUCACGCCGCCUGAAUUUCUGGGCGGCGCGUGAACCCAAGCGCCGCCAGUGACGGUGGCGCGUGGGAAGACGCGCCACCAGUGUACAACGACCACAGAAGAUGCCCAGAAUUCCCCAGCACUGUUCCCGAAGCUAUUUUGGAAUUUUCAAAUGUUGUUGUGUAUAUUUGGGCACUGUUGUGUUUUGAUUUAUUUGAUUAUUUUUUCUUUGUUAUGUUGUAAACAUGUAAUUGUGGGUGAGUCAGCAUAAUAAAAGGAGAUGUGUGUGUGUGUGUUUUUAUUAUUAUUAUUAUUAUUUAUUAUAUUGAAUUAUAAAAAUAAUAAUAAAGAAAAAACAAAAAAGAAUUAAUUGUUUAAUUUGAACAUGCACAAAUUCUAAGGAUGGAUAAAAUCAUGUUGUAUUUUCCAUGAAAAUGUAAGAACAUGUUUCUACAUAUAUUCUGGAAAUUAAUAACUGAUGUAUCGUAGCCUUAGAAGUGGGCUAAAAUUCUAUUUUUAAAAUUACAUCAAGCUCACGAAGCUUGAAUGUGGUGUGUGUAUUUUGUUUGCAAAUUUUUUAUGAUAAAAUUGCAGGAAUUAAGAAGGAUUUAAUAUUUUGAUUGGAUCACGGUGUAGAAGUACAAACUUGUACGGAAGUUGUAUUUCUAAAAUCCGAUGAAAAGACAAUUUUUAAAACUUGUUUUAACACAUCAAGUCCACGGAGCAGCUUACCUCAGGUAGGGUGUGUUAGGGGUGCUAACACCUUCCCUAACCACAAUCAGUCCCUUACCCACGAGUCUCUGACCAUGACCAGUCUAUCAGGGUUUCCUAGUAACCUCAAUUAAAUACUAGGUGGCGACUCCUAAAGAACCAAUUCAAGCGAUACAACGAGAGACAUAAAUCGGCAGCCGAUGCCGCGCGUGGCAUUUUUCGACGUGCGACAGAAUGGCGACUCCACUGGGGAGGUAUUGACAAUUUGGACUAAGCUUUGUGUACUUGAUGUGUUUAAUUUUUGCCAUUUUUGUCUUGCUUUAUUUUAUGCAUGCAUUUUUAGAAUUGUUUCAUGCAUCACUUGUAUUUAUUUUUGAAAGCACACACAAGCUUCUAAGUUAGGUGGGGAGUAGCAGUCUACCUCAUGACUUUCAGUCGGAGUUCAGAUUUGUGAAACAUCCAACUAUGAGCUGAGUGUUUACUCGGUAAUGGCGGUCACAUGGUGCCCCAACCAUUCCUUGUAAACCCCUAUACUGCCUUCACGUGAGGUCGUCACUGGGCAGUUCAUAGACCCUUUUGAGACCAGGUAGAAAACCUACCCAUGUUCACACAAUGAAUAGAACCUGUCCUUAGGUUGUAUGUGCUAUCAUUUAUUUGUAUCGGGAUGAACCCUUCUUGAAGCAUCUUGAACUCAAGAUUUGUGGGUGACACAUUGGUCGUCACUCGGAAAAUUUUCAUUGUAGAGUUCGGGCAAAAAUCAUGAUUUUUGUUCCAUCAUACAAGAGUACCAUGUUGUCACCCCUCGAAGGGCGAGUUCAUCAUAUAGACUUCAUGUUCAUACAUUUGUCAUGCAUGCACCAGAAUAAAAAGUAGGUCCCCUCUGAGUCUACAACACCUGAUUUUAAGAGAAAAAACAUUGGAGACAAAGAGCGUGCUCACCGCAGCAUCCAUUUCCAAGAAGAGUUAGAGUCUCUGAAAUCAAGUGUGGCUCGCCUCACUAGCUUACUUAAGCAUAUACUGAGAAAUGCCUCUGGUGAAGGUCCUUCCAAUCGGCCAAUUAUUUUUGUUCAGCCCCAACUCAACCCGAAGAAAUUAGGGGCCAACAUGAUCAAGAGCCUCAACACAAUCUGAAGGGGAAUUGCAUCACCGUUGCAAAAUAGAGCCUGUUCUUGCUCUGCCAAAAUCACUACCUCUGUUUGAUCAUGCCUCCAAAAACUUGAUUUUUUGUUUCAACCUAUUCUAGUUUUUGUUGGUAAUUUGGCUCAAAUUUCCACAAGACUUUCUCUGCCAAAUGAGCCUUUCCUGUUAAUAAAAUCGUGUUUUCUUUUUUUGUGUUCAUGCAAAUAACAUACUGAGCACACCUUUGUACUUACAAAACCAUUGCGCCAAGAAUCUUUGGGCGUGUUUCCCCUUUCUUCCAAAACUAUGCAUGUUUUCACAAGGAUUUUUGGGAAAUUAAAGUUUAGUACAAAAACAAAAAUCAUUUUGGUGUUUGUUCGAAACAAACAAGUUCUGGAAAUUAAGGUGAUUCCUUAGAGAGGUAAUCAUACACCUAGAAAACCAAAAAAAAACACCAUGAAGUGACUACAAAAGCUAAGUUUUGAUUGCAUGAAUAAUGAGAAAUCACUCUGCAUACUCGCAUGAAAGCAAGGCUUAUCGAUCCUAAAUGCAUGCAUUUGAGAUGAAGAAAGGCCAUCUUUGAUAAUCUUUUCACAAUGCUGAAAUAUAUCCUUUGCAAUCCCCUUUGGAGCCUAAUAAAUUUUUCUUGAAAAAUAACCUUGGCUAGGAUCACACCCUACACUAGGGGGCAAGUGCAAAAAAAAUCCAUAAUGAUUGAAAGUGCCCAAAUAACUCUUGGGGGCAUGAAAAAGUCUUCAACAAUGAAAGUGCCCAAACAAUACUGGGGGGCAUAAAAGAAAAUCUCAAUCAUCAAAGGUGCCCAUACAAAGCUAGGGGGCAUGAAAAAAAAUCCAAAGGAUCCAAAAUUUUGAGCAAAAAACAAGGCCAAUGCAAUGAUGCUCAAAAUCAAAUGAAGAAAAGAAAAACAAAGAGAAAGAGCCCAAGCCCAACAUUGGGGGGCACCGUGGACCAUUUUACAAAUAAAUUCCAAGGUCCAGAAAUGUAUGAACAAAAGAGUUUGGGAUAUAAGCACUAGUGAUCCUUAGUCUUAAAGUCCCAUAAACAAUUUUUAAGCCUACAUAUAUCCUUUUCUUCAUAGCCAAUAGCCCAAGCCUACAUUACGUGCCUAAUCAAGCCCUUUCUGAUCAAAGGCAAGCAAUCUGGAUCGAUAGGCAAUGCUUUCUCAUGCGAGAUAAAGUCAUUAUUCAUGCAAAUAAAAUGAAUGCUUUGACAACGGUUCUAAAUAACCCUCAAAUUGAAAUUUCAACCUUUUGUGACCAACCAAAUGUCACUUCAUAUUUUUCACCAAAAUCAAAACAAAAAGUUUUCAUCACUUCUGAAAACCUCUCCAUAGGAAUCACUUGAAUUUCUUCAGAAUGAGUUCGCUUUGAAUCGAUGUUAAAAUGAUUUCUGUGUCUGGAAUAGCUUUGAAAUUCCAAAAAUUCUGCAUGAAAACAACUCCUUGUCAAACCUUCCUUCACAUAGCCUCAUCCCGAAACCCGAAUUGAAUACUUGGGGGCAUGAUCAAGCUAGGGGGCAAUCAAAAACAUUUGGUAGAGCUGGCUCCAUGAUUCCCUUUCGAAGAAACUAUUGGGCAAAAUUGGCAACCCUUGAGAUAAAAGGGGCGGAGAACAAAGAAGUGAUGACAUCAACUUUCCUAGAGGCCAAGAUUGUAAGAUAUUUCUCGAGUAAGCAAGGGGACAAAAGCCAUCAAAGCUUACUAUCAGAGACUCAAACUUUUGAGAAAAGGAGAACUCCAUGAAGAAAAGGGGACCUAUACUUCUUAGGUAAGUAUACAUGCAUAUAUUGAUCAUGAUGCAUUUCUUUCAUCCUUAACAGAUCGAUGUCUCACCAUCACCUCUUUUUGAGCGGGUUGCUGAAGCCUUAACCCUCUUAGGUAGUGUGUUUUCCAACCCUGCCUCUUUUGGAGAGCUCCUUCGAGCACUCACUUCUUAGGUAGUGUGUUUUCUAACCCUACCUCCUUUUUUAGUGUGCCUUGGAGCCCUAACCUUCUUAGGUAGUGUGUUUUCCAACCCUACCUCCUUUUGAGAGCUCCUUCGAGCACUCAUUUCUUAGGUAGUGUGUUUUCUAACACUACCUCCUUUGUUAGUGUGCCUUUGAGCCCUAACCCCUUUUAGGUAGUGUGUUUUCCAACCCUACCUCCUUUUGAGAGCUCCUUCGAGCACUCAUUUCUUAGGUAGUGUGUUUUCUAACCUUACCUCCUUUUUUAGUGUACCUUUGAGCCCUCGAUCACCUUUAGGUAGUGUGUUUUCCAACCCUACCUCUUUUUGAGUGUCCCUUCGAGCACUCAUUUCUUAGGUAGUGUGUUUUCUAACCCUACCUCCUUUUUUAGUGUGCCUUUGAGCCCUAACCCCCUUUAGGUAGUGUGUUUUCCAACCCUACCUCUUUUUGAGUGCCCCUUCGAGCACUCACCCCUUAGGUAGUGUGUUUUCUAACCCUACCUCCUUUUUUAGUGUGACUUCGAGCCCUAACCCUCUUAGGUAGUGUGUUUUCUAACCCUACCUCCUUUUUUAGUGUGCCUUCGAGCCCUAACCCUCUUAGGUAGUGUGUUUUCCAACCCUACCUCUUUUUGAGUGCCCCUUGGAGCACUCACCUCUUUGAUAAUGUGUUUUCUAACCAUACCUCCUUUUGAAUGCUCAUUUGAGACCCCAAACAUCUUAGGUAGUGUGUUUUCUGACCCUACCUCCCCUUUUGAGUGCGCCUUAGAGCCUUCAACCCUUAGGUAGUGCGUUUUUCAACCCUAUCUCAUUUUAAGUGCGCCUUAGAGCCAUCAACCCUUUAGGUAGUGCGUUUUCCAACCCUAUCUCUUUUUAAGUGCGCCUUAGGGCCAUUAACCACCUUAGGUAGGGCAUUUUCCAACCUUACCUCCUUACCUCUUUUCGAGUGCACCUUUGAGCCCUCGAUCACCUUUAGGUAGUGUGUUUUCCAACCCUGCCUCCUUUUUUGGUACGCCUUCGAGCCUUAACCCUUUAGGUAGUGCGUUUUCCAACCCUGCCUCUUUUUUAGCGCGCCUUCGAGCUAACAACCCCUUUAGGUAGUGUGUUUUCUGACCCUACCUCCCCUUUUGAGUGCGCCUUAGAGCCUUCAACCACUUUAGGUAGUGCGUUUCCCAACCUUACCUCCUUUCGUAUGCUCCUUCGAGCCCUCACCACUUUAGGUAGUGAGUUUUCCAACCCUACCUCCUUUUGAAUGCUCCUUUGAACCCUUACCCCUUCGGUAGUGCGUUUUCCAACCUUGCCUCCUUUUUAGAGCUCCUUCGAGCCCUCACCUCUUGUGUAGUGUGCUUUCUAGCCCUAUUUGCCUCCUUUUGAGUGCGCCUUGGAGCACUCACCUCUUAGGUAGUGCGUUUUUCUAACCCUACCUCCUUUCGAGUGCGCUAACCUCCUUUAGAGUGCGCUCUUCAUCCCUCGUUCCCCAUCGAGUCCUAUCAUGUCAUCCCUUUCAGACAUUUUGCCUUUUCGCCCGGGUAGGUCACCCAUUAUAAUCAGACCUCUUUCAAGACUCUUUUCAUUUUCCAUUUGGGCCGGUUGCCCAUAACAAUAAAACCAUUUUGAGAAGUCCUUGCAUUUCUCCCCAUUUUCAAACUUCUUCCAUUUUGGGCCGGUUGCCUAUAACAAUGAAACCAUUUUGAGAAAUCCUUGCAUUUCUCCCUAUCUUCAAACUUCUUCCAUUUGGGCCGGUCGCCCAUAACAAUAAAACCAUUUUGAGAAAUCCUUGCAUUUCUCCUCAUCUUCAAACUUCUUCCAUUUGGGCCAGUCGCCCAUAACAAUGAAAUCAUUUUGAGAAAUCCUUGCAUUUCUCCCCAUCUUCAAACUUCUUCCAUUUGGGUCGGUCGCCCAUAACAAUGAAAUCAUUUUGAGAAAUCCUUGCAUUUCUCCCCAUCUUCAAACUUCUUCCAUUUGGGGCGGUCGCCCAUAACAAUGAAACCAUUUUGAGAAAUCUUCGCAUUUCUCAACCACUUUGAAAAAUCUUUGCAUUUUUCAUCACUUUUCAUCUGGGCCGGUUGCCCAUUACAACAAAACCAUUUUGAAAAAUCUUUGCAUUUUUCAUCAUUUUGAGAAAUCUUCGCAUUUCUCAUCACUUUGAAAAAUCUCUGCAUUUUUCACCUCUUUGAAAAAAAUCUUUGUAUUUUUCAAAAAUUUUCAUCUGGGCCGGUUGCCCAUUACAACAAAACCACUUUGAAAAAUCUUUGCAUUUCUCACCACCUUGAAAACUCUUUUUGUUUUCCAUCUUGGGCCGGUUGCCCAUUACAACAAAACCACUUUGAAAAAUCUUUGCAUUUUUCACUACUUUGAAAAAUCUCUGUAUUUUUCACGUCUUUGAAAAAUCUCUGUAUUUUUUACCACUUUAAAACAUCUUCGUGUUUUUCACCCGGGUAGGUCACCCAUGACAAUUCGACCAUUUCAAAAUCUUUGAAUUUUUUUUUAAAAAAAAUCUUCCUUUUUUUCUUCUUUACAACGCUUACUAUCUAAAGUCUCCUACGAGACUUUCUAUCAUAAGCAUUGUAAAGAGGGGGGCAACUGUCAUAACACAAUUUGGGUCAUUCCCCAAAAAUUUCUUUUUUUCAAAAUAAAAAUAAAAAAAUAAAAUAAAGGCUGCAACGUGGAGAAGGUAAAAAAAGCUGCAAAAAUGCAAAUCGAAGAAUACAAUGCAAAUUCAAGGUCAUAUUAAAUGAUUAUUGGACGAAUUCGCAUGAAAAUUAAGUCCAAGGACAUAAUUAAAUUUUUAAUAGGCCAAUUUGAUUUAAUCAUGGGCCAAAUUGAAUUUUAAUUAUGUUUAAGAAUUAAUUUGGGUCCAAUUGAAGGAUUUAAUUAAGUGCAAUGACUUAAUUAUACUUUAAAUGGGUCAAAUCAAUUUUAUUUGGGGCUUAAUUGGUGAAAAAUUAAGUUUGGGAGCUUAAUUGAGAAGAUUGGAAUUUUAAGAGACCAAAUUUAAUUUUUACCAAGUUGAUUGUUUGAAAUCAGGGAUCAAAUUGCAAGAAAAUUGAAGUUUUGGGGUCAAUUAGGGGUAAAAUUGACAAAAUCCAAAGACAAGGACCAACUUGCAAAAGGCGCCAAACUAUAGGGGUCUAAUUGACUGGAGGGCUAAAUUGCAAAUUGAAAGACAUUGAACGCUAGAGGGCUAAAUUGAAAAUCAGCAAAAAGCCCUAAUUUUUAUCCCAAACGGCGCCGUUUUUGUGUUGAGGGAAGGGACCAGGCGACGCGUCGCCCGGUUACUGUUCAUCGUCUUCCUCACAAAGCUGCCCGAGUGGCUGCUUUCCAGGCGCGUUUUCUCACUCGUUGGCCCCCAAAUCCGACAAGGCGUGCACCAACAUGUUCCCCUGAAACAUCUUUAUCUCGUAGAGUGGUCGGUCGGGUAACAACUUGGACAGCUCCGUUUAUUGGCCCAAAGUGGCACCCUCGGGCAGUCUGCAGCCUUGGAUUGCCAAAUUUGGCAGUUCGAGGUGCACACUUUGAACCAACGGCUUGGAUUCCUCGAGUCGAAUCAAGGCUGAGACUUUUUCCCCGUUGAACACAGAUUACCCUCUUUCCAUCCCUAUAAAUAGGAGCCAAUUUAAUGCUCAGAGGAGGAGAAACCUGAGCUCAAAGUUGGGAAAAAUCAGUUUUUCCUGCCCGGUUUUCCUGCAACCAGUCCUCUCUUUUUUUUUCUCUCCGCCGUGGCCUCUAGUUGCCACCACUGACCUCGCCACCAUCCUCUCCCUGAAACACCACAUCCAUCCAUCACCCAGCAACCUCACCGAAGCCUGCAACCUCCUCUCUCUCCUCUCUUUCUGCAAAACGUUUCUCUCUCUCACCACCGCAAUCCCAGCAGCAGCAGCGUAACCACCCUUUCCAGCGGCUUGCACUUCUAUCAGCAGCAUCUUGGGAAGCAUCUCCUCCUCAGCCACACCAACAACUCCAGCCGUGAGCUUUCCCUCUCCUCUGCAGGGCUUGUUUCCUUCUUCUUCCAGCCGGGACCAGUGCACGCUGCCGGCCUCGCCGCCUCCAGCUUCACCGCGCGCCACCAGUCGGGCCACCAACUCUCUCCACGCCAGGUAAUUCUCUCCUCCCUGCUCCACCAUUUUCGUUUUCGUUUCUGCAUGCAGUGGCUAAUUAAUUAGACACUUGUUUGGGCCGGGCCGGUUCUGGCCCAGCCCGGCCCAAAAAAAAAAAAAAAAAAUUUCAAAAAUAUUCAAAAAAAUCAUGUAAAAAUUUGUGGUUUUCUUAAAUAUUUUUCCACCAAGUUUUGCAUAAUAUCGGGUUGUAUAUUUACAUUGUAAAAUACAAAUUCGGUAUUAAAAUACCUGGUUUUCUCCAAAAUAUUUCAAAAAAAAAAAUCAAAACAUUUCCAAAAAGAAAAAAAAUAUUUCAUUGCAUACAGAAAAAAUCCAAAAACUUUUCCAAGCAUAUUCUUUGUAAAAACAAAAAUUGCAUCUUUUUCAUGUUUUUUAAAUGGAUAUCGUAACCAGAUUAUGAUUGUCCAUUAGGAUUUGGCCAAAAUGUCAAAAACCUUUUUUCAAUCUUUUUUCCUGGGAUCCGGAUGUAGACUUUAAUAUUGGUGGGGUGUAAAAUUACGCGAUAAUGUACAUCCUCGGGUAUUAAAGAUACAAGGUGUAAAUAAAAGCAAUUUUAAAAUUAAGACUUUAGAAUGGUUAGGAUUUAACCGAAUAAGGUAGAGACUUCCUCACGAGGGGAGAUCUGCCUUGAACCUUAGAAAAGACCAGCGAAUAGAAACCCGACCUAGAAAAACAAUCAAACAAUAAUGCAGUUUGCCUUAGGUAGGGUGCACUGGGGGUGAUGCGUCUUCCCCUUGCACAACCAGUCCUUACUCAGACUCUCGCAGACCUUAGGUUCGUAGUGACCAUAACACUAGGUGGCGACUCCCAACAAAACAAAUCAACACAACAACAAUGAGAGACAAAUCGCCAGCGGAUGUCGUGCGGAAUUUUUUGACGUGCGACAGUCAUUGUCAGAUGCUAAACAUAACUUUGAUGAACUUUGACAACUCAUCAUCGGAUCCUUUCUUUGACCCCAGCUGAUCAGAAUGUUGUUUGUUUUUCUUCUAAGGGUCCACUGUAUUGCCCCCAGGUGGUUAACAUUUCAAGGAGUGUCGGGAAAUUGAUGUCAUUUUUGUCAAGGAUUUUGCAAACUCAAUUGAUGUUCUUGUUUGAAAAUCUUUCUUGUUCUAGAAUCAAAUCUCAUAUUUCAAAGAUCAUGUUUAUUCAAAGUCUAGUUGUUGAGAUGAAAUCAGAGAGAUAUCAGUUUUUUUUGUUUUUUUAAAGUAUUUUUGAAAUUCAAGCUUCUUUGAUCAAAGACCCAACACACGUCAUUCAAUGUAGUCCUUCGAUUGUCUUGUAUUUUGAAAACAGAAAUCGACCCGUUGUAAGAUUAAAAAUGGUCUUUUCCAUGGUUCUUUGUGUCCACUUUAAACUCUGAUUUUGGGUAUAUCUUUUGAUGGUCUGCGAUGAGGUGACCUUCUGUGAAUUUCAAGGAAAACAACAGGCUCAAGUCAAAACUUGAGGAUUCAUGAAGGAAAAAUGUUUUGUUUUUUAGCAAUAAUUUUAUCAACAUGCAUAACGACCGGUAACUUAAUUCAUGAAGCCACGACUCUUAUGGAAAAACUCUUCAAGUUUUGAGAGCGCCAUUUAUCGGUUCAAGUUGCUUGCUUGAUUAAAAAGGGCUUUUAAAAAGCAUGUAAUGCAGGCUAUGGUUCAUGGCUAUGAAAGAAAGGAAUUUCAAAGGCUCAAAAGGUGUUUGAGGGUUUUAAAAACCUAGGAUCAACAUCAAUUAUUCAUCAACUCAUUUUCUAUUGUUGUCUUUGUAGAGGAAACGACAUAGAACCUUGUUAACCUCAAAGAUCAGACUUCUAUUAACAUAAGUCAUAAUGCAAAUCCAACUUUCUUUGAGGAAUAACCAACCUUAAUCAUCUGAUAACAUCGUAGGCUUUAUAAUGGAUACCAAAAGUCAACGCUUAUAGCUUAGUCUUUUUCCGGUAUUGACUUUUGUUGUACCUUUCCUUGAUUGAAAUUUCUUUGCUCUUUCUAGACUUGAUAGGCAUUUUCCUUCCUUUAUCUUUGACUUGUAUUUAAGUGAAGACAAUUUCAACUUCUUUUUUUUUUUUUUGUUUUCAUAGCCUUCCUCAAAACUUUCUUAUAUGCCCCUGUUGCUACCCAAUUUUUGACCCAUGUUUUUGAUAUAUUUUCAAAAAACAUCCAAAAAUUGAGAAAAACAAAGAAAGUCCAAAAAAAUAUGUUUUUAAUAUAUUUUCGUCAUUUUAGCAUUUUCAACGUCGUUUAAAAUUUUUUUUUUAAGGGUCUUUCGAACGCGUUCGACUUUUCACGCGUCAUUUUUAAAAUAAUUGAUUUUCCGUAUUUGAGUCGACGUUGAUAUUGCUCGUUUUCAAAAAAAUACAAAAAAACAAGAAAAAUCAAAUUUUACAAAAAAAUAAAAAUAAAAAUUAAGGGACCAAUUUUGAGGCCGAAACAAUAUUUUUGCCUAAGGGAAUUUUGAAUUUUGGAAGGAGGGGCAACCUAUCUGUAGAGGAGCCGAGCCGAAACGGAGAAAAAGAGAAACCGAAGCAGAUCUCAAAAAAACAAAGGAAAUAAAAUCUAAAAUCAACUGUUUGUGGCCUUUUGUUUGCGUUUCUUGUGGCAGGUGAAGUUAGCAGUCACCGCGGGCGAGGAAGAAGGGAGUAUCUCCCCUGUUGCUGUUCUUUUUUUUCGGCGGCGCGUGAACCCACGCGCCGCCAGUGACGGUGGGCGCGUGGGAAGACGCGCCGCCCGUGUUAGCUGCCCAGAAUAUGUUUCCAACACUGUUCCGGUGGUGCCCCAUAAAUUCCAGAUUGUGUUGGGGCUGUUUUUUUUUGUAAAUUUUAAAUAAUUAAUGUAAUUUUUUAUUUUGAUGUUUUGAAUUUGUAUUGUAUAAAUGUGAUGGAAAAGAAAAGAAAAAUAAAUAAUAAAAAAUUGUGCUGUGUGUUUGUAUUUUUUUCUUAUGACAUUGAAUUAUAAAAAAUAAAAAAAAGACAAAAAUAAUUAAUUGUUAAUUUAAAUAUGGUUAAAUAUCUUAAGGACCAAAAUAAAAUCAAGUUGUAUUUUCCACGAAAAUGUAAGAACAAGUUUUUUUUAACAUAUAUUCGGGGAUUUAAUAACUGAUUUAUUCAAGCCUUAGAAUUUAAUUAAUAUUUUAAAUUUUCUUAAGUAUGGUUAAAUAUCUCAAGGACAAAUAAAAUCAAGUUGUAUUUUCCAUGAAAAUGUAAGAACAAGUUUUACAUAUAUUCGGGGAUUUAAUAACUAAUUUAUUCAAGCCUUAGAAUUUAAUUAAUAUUUUUAAAUUUUCAAAUCACAUUAGAACACAAUGCAGCUUACCUCAGGUAGGGUGUGUUAGGGGUGCUAAAUACCUUCCCUAACCACAACCAGUCCCUUACCCGCGAUCUCUGACAAGACCAGUACAUCAGGUUUCCUAGUAGCCCUCAAUGAAUUACUAGGUGGCGACUCCAACGAACAAAUUCAAAGCAAACGCAACAAAACGAUGAAAAAUCGCCAGCCGAUGCCACGCGAUUUAGGAUUUUUUUUGGGGUGCGACAUGCCCCGAGUCUAUGUGUCUUCUUCUAGCUCUCUCAAUCAUUUGACUUUUGUUCUAAGCCUCCCCUUUAUCCAUUAAUUAUAUCGAUGCCUUCAAAAUAUCUCUCAUUUACCCCAAGUGUGGGGUGUGAUCCUAGUCAGGGUUUUUUUUGAAAGAAAAUAUUUUCAGGCUCAAAAUGGGACUGCAAGGGAUAUAAUUUUAGAAAGUGAAGGGAUAUCAAAGAUGGCCUUUUCUCAUUUCAAGCAAGGUCGGUUAGAACCGAUAAAUUUUGACCUCAUCCAGUGUAAUGAUUUGGACUUGUAAGAAUCAUGAUUCACGAGUCCAUAACUACCAAUCCACUACAUGUCAUUAUGCAUACUGCUAAAACUUAGCUAUAUGAUGUGUGGUUCAGUUUCAAGGUAUGAGUUCAAAAUUGUUUGUCACCUCAUGUCAUUUUCAAGCAUCGAGUCAUUUCUGUAAUCAAAACACUUUUAAUCUUCCGGAUUGAUUAACCUUUAUCGCAUGUUGGAGUUUGAUCAAAAUAUUUUGUCAGAAUAAAAUGUAAACAUCUGUUGAUUUCAAAACAACAAAAGACAAAAGCAAGGCAUGUUUCGUUGAAGGAUGAGAUGUGAUCCCAAAACAAAAUGCAGAAUUCCAAAACAAUAUGAUUGACUGUUCAUCACCAUUCUUGAAUCAGCUUUUCUGGCAAUAUUGUUUUGCCAAGCACUUUCGAUCAACAUGUCAUUCUGAAGAUGUUCGGGGACAAUAUAGCCAAUGACACCCUCCUUCACGACUCCACUUGUCUCUUGCUCACCAACUUUCAGCAAUUCUUGCAAAUGUUCACUUGAAAUGGUUGAGGACCCCACCAUGACAUCACAUCUCUUAUCUGGAUUAUACCACCUAGAAAUUGGUGGUUGCAUGGGAUUUGUCGGAGUCAAGCAAAAUUCUGGAAUCUGGCAGAUGCUGGUCGACAAACUUAAGGCAGAGGAAUGUCCCAUCUUGGCAAAGACAUUUGAGCAAUUGAUGCUACCGUGAGACCUGGCUAUACCACAUAAUUAAGGGUUCACACCGUCAAAGUCAUCUCCUGAUUCACCUCUCAUCAUUGUUCUAGAAUCCAUGGCAGAUCCUUCAAUCUUUCUCUCUCUUCAUAGCUUGUUCAAUUCUUCGGCAAAUCCUCACAACAUUAUUUCAAUCUUCCAAUGUUGCUAUGGUUGGUUGAGGAUUGUUAGAAAACUUUCUAACAGCUUGGUAAUCUUGGCAGCGCCCAGAAACUUGUAGUAUCGCCACUACCACGUGUGGAAUCACCUUAUCUCUUCUAUGGAGAAAACGAUGAACAUGAAUCUCCUCUUUUCUUCUUUCGAUUCCUGAAGUGCAGCAAACAAACACCUAUAGAGGAAGUUGCUCUGUUGAAGUUUCAGUCUUCUUCAUGUUUUUCAGUCUAGGCAUGUCUCUUCUCUCUACUUUUGCGUUUUAAUACUGACACUGUUGGAGGAAAAUCAUAGAUGAUCUGAAACUACUGUAUUCCUUCUUGGAUUUCCCACUUGCGGAUCCACAAACAGAUUCCUGCCGAGAGAGCUCUGCUACGUUGAAGUUUGAUGUCUGCUCAUAUUUUUCAGACCAGGUCUGGCUCUUCAACCUACUAAGUCUUCGUGCUGAAACUGAUGAGAGAAAUAUUUGUAGCAUAUGCAACUUAUAAAUCCCCUCUUGCACUUCCCAAUUUGCAGAGCCAUAAAUGGAUUUUUGUAGAGAGCUCUGCCACAUUGAAGUUCAGUGUUCAAUCAUGGUUUUUCAGACCAUCUUGUGCUGCUGAACUGGAAUAAUCGGGGUAACUUCAAAGCAGAUAAUGCACCAUGUACAGGAGGCUAGUAGUUGUUUGGUUCCAUUAGAUGAUGUGGAGGCGAUGAACACUUAACAGCAACUGACAGAAUCGAGUUGUCAUUAGUUGAUGACUGAAGGCAUUGUUGUUUGUUCAUGACGGAAAAGGAGAGAUACAACUUCAAUUGGAUGGAACAAGCAGUGUUCCCACAGAAACUGUGCAGACAUCUCUUUCCAUUUGAUGCUCAACACUUGUUCGAGCAGAUCUGAGUCCGCUACUUCACCUUGAUGCUCUCAACCUUAAUCUGAUAAUGAGCCUAUAUGACUCCUUUCUUCACUUCCAUUAUUUUCUUCAAUCACGUGCAGCACAGCUUGUGGGGGACCUACCUUUCACCCGGUACAUGCAUGAUAAAUGUAUGAACAUGUAAUCUAUAUGAUGAACUCACCCUUCGAGAGGUGACAAUAUGGUCGUAACUCUUGUAUGAUGGACAAGAAUCGUGAUUUUUGCCCAAACUCUACAAUGAAAAUUUUCGGAGCAACGGCCAAUGUGUCACCCACAAGUCUUGAGUUCAAGAUGCUUCAAGAAGGGUUUGCCCUUAUGCAAAAAACGAUAGCACAUACAACCUAAGGACAGGUUCUAUUCAUUAUGUGAACAUGGGUAGGUUUUCUAUCUGGUCUCAAAAGGGUCUCAUAUCUGCCCAGUGACGUUCUUCGUAAAGACAGUAUGGGGGCGUUGCAAGGAAUGGUUAAGGCACGUAUACCCACCAUUACCAAGCAGGCACUCAGAUAUGAGUUGGGUGUUUCACGCAUCUGAACCCUGACCAAUAGUCUUAGGGCAGAUCGCUAGUUCCCCACCUAACCUAGAAGCUUGUGUGUGCUUUCAAAAAUAAAUACAGGUGAUGCAUGAGACAAUUCUAUAAAAUGCAUGGAAAUAAAUAUUAACAAAAAAGAUAAAAAUGCAAAAACUUAAACACAUCAAAUACACAAAGCUUAGUCCAAUAAUGUCAGAAACAGUACCUUCCCCAGUGGAGUCUCCAUUUUGUCGCACCCCAAAAAAAAUCAGCGCGCGGCAUCGGCUGGCGAUUUUUCGUUGUUGCGUAAUGUUUGAAUUUGGUUCGUUGGAGUCGCCACCUAGUAAUUGAUUGCGGGCUACUAGGAAACCGGAUGUACUGGUCUCGUCAGAGGUUCGCGGGUAAGGGACUGGUUGCGGUUAGGGAAGGUAUUAGCACUCCUAACGCACCCUACCUGAGGUAAGCUGCUUCGCGAUUUUUGAUGUGUUAAAGAAGUUUUAAUAAUUGUCUUUUAAUCGGAAAUUAGAAAUAUCACUUACGUAUAAGUUAAUAAUUCUUAACCGUGAUCCAAUCAAAAUAUUAAAUUCUUCUUUAAUAUCUGCAAUUUUAUCAAUAAGAAAUAUAUUUAAAAAAUAAAACAAAUACAAUCACACACAUUCACUAUAUUUUUGUUCUUUCUUUUCUUUUCCUUGUUACAUUCACAUUUACAAUAUACAAAUAAAAAUCCAAAAACUAAAUAAAAAAAACAUCAAACAAUUUAAAAUUACAAAACAGCCUCUAAAACAUCCUAAGGCUUCUAGAACAUGCAGGAACAGUGCACGGGAACAGUACUAGGAGGCUUCUGGUGCAGAGAAUCAGUGGCGGCGUGUCUUCCCACGCGCCGCCGCCACUGGCGGCGCGUGGGUUCACGCGCCUCCACGAGAAAACGCAGCAACAAGGGGGAUCGGCUUCUUCCACUCAUCCUUUCGUCGUCGACAGUCACCUGCAAAGCAAACCUCAACACACAGCAAGCAAUUGAUUUUAGUUUUUUAUUCAUAUCUGCUUUUAAUUUUCUUCUGCCCGUUUCGGAUCUGCUCCUCUUUCUCUUCUUCUCCGUUGCAGAUUUGCUUUUAUCUGCAGAUCAGUCCGUGUGUUUCUUCUUCUUCUUCUCCUCUACUUCAGGCGGCCGAUCUGGUGGUUGCAAAGGGGAUCGCGGUUGUGGUCGCUGCUGCUGUCGUCCGUUCGGCGGCUGAAGCCGUAGCGGAGAUGGGCUUGCUGUCGAUGGUCGGUUGAAGGAGGAGAUCGGUGGUUGCUUGCUGCUGUGGUCGGGUCUGUUCGUUGACCCGGAGAGGGAGAAAGGGGGAGUGGCCAGCUGCUGUGGUGGCCGUCGCGGCUGUGGAGGGCGAUGGGUCGACUGUUGCCCGGUGGCUGAGGGAAGGGAGGCCUGAUCCGGUGUGAGGCUGAGCUCGGGCUGUUGAAGCUACGGUGGAGCUGGCGGCUGCUGGUCUGUGUUGUCGGCUGAGAAGAAAACCGGUGGUGAUGGAAACCGAAGGAGGAAGAAGAUAGGCCGGCUGUUGAAGGAAAUGAGGGGGCUGGGAGUGUCGCCGCUAGUGAGGGAGAAAGGAAGAAAAAAUCAAACUGGGGGGUUUGGGGGGGGGGGCUGUUUGGCCGGUGUUCAAAAAAUGCAACAAGGUGGGGGCGGCUGUGUUUUGGCUUCAGGAGAAGAAGGCUCGGAAAAAAAAUUCAAAGGGAGGGGGGGCGGCAGGCUUGGUAGAGAUAGGUUUAGGGUUAGGUUGUUUUUUUUUAUAUUUUUUUGUUAUUUCAAAAUUGCCCCCCUUUUUGAAUAUGAGUUGAAGACCAGUAUUUAUAGGCAAAAAAUGUUGCCAAGUUUUUCAACUUGGUCCCUCAACUUCUUUCUUUUUGUAAAUUUUGAUUUUUCUUAUUUUUUUGUAUUUUUUGAAAACGAGCAAUAUCAACGUCGACUCAAAUACGGAAAAUCAAUUAUUUUAAAAAUGACGCGCGCAAAGUCGAACGCGUUUGAAAAUCUUUUGAAAAAUUAAAUUCUUUUUAGACGACGCUGAAAAUGCUAAAAUGACGAGAAUAUAUUAAAAAAUAUAUUUUUUGGAUUUUCAUUGUUUUUCUCUAUUUUUGGAUUUUUUGAAAAUAUAUCAAAAACAUGGGUCAAAAAUUGGGUAGCAACAACAAAUAUAAAAAAAAACAAAAAAUAUUUAAAUUUGAGUCACUAAUUACCUUAUUUUGAUGAAUAAUGAAUUAAUCGACAGCUAUAUUUUAACCUUUCCGCAUUGCUUUGUAUUAUUUUUUUUUUUUUGUUAGGAUUCUAGAGAAGAAAGAUAAAAAAUUGGUAAAAAAAAUAAUUAAAUUUAACAAGUUAUAUAUUUUUUUUUACAACUUAGACGAAGAGAUAAUUUUAUAUUCAAAGAUAAUUAAUGAAAUAAUAAUUUAUUAUUAGAAAACCCAUUACUUAUUAUAUUUAAAUACUAAUAUAUAUAUAUAUAUAGGGGUGUUUUGCAGGGGCCCGGGCCCCUGCUUGCCACCCCUUUAUUCCGCCUCUGGACCCAAUAGCGGAGGGAGGAGGGGCUGGCAGGGGCCCCGGCCCUUGCAAAAAAAUACCCCUCCCUUAUAAAUAUUUAUAAUUUUAAUAAAAAUAACUGAAAUUUUUUCUAUCGGUAGGACGGUAAAAAAAACAAAAAACAAGGUUUUUAUAUCUAUUUAUCAUUCAUUAUAAUUUAUUUUUUAUUUUUUUAAUUUUCGAUUUUCUUUAUUUUUCGAUUUCUCAAUUAUAAUCUAUGGAAUAGAUUAUCACCCAAGAGUGAAAAACAACUUCUUCUUUUUUUACUAGUAUAAAUGGGGGUCACACUAUAAAACAAGGGAGAAAUUAGUUAGAGAGGAUUAGCAUAAAAAAAAUACUAAACAUUCUAUCUUAAAAAACCAAAAAAGAGAGUAAAAAAUCCAUGACCCAUAACACCCUCCAGUACACCCACAUUUAAAUAAAAAUAACAAGACCAACUCAUCAUCUUCAAGCUCCCACUGUCACCAAUAAAGAAAAAAAAAACCCAAUUUCCCAUAAAAAAAAUUAUGCCCUCCACUGCUGUAAAACAUUCAAAACUCCUUUUCUCUUUAUCAAGCAGCAAAAAAAAAAAAAAAAAAAAAACAUGACAGACCCAGUGGUAUAAGGAGGGGGGCUGGCAGGGGCCCCUGCCCUUGCAAGAAUAUACCCCUCCCUUAUAAAUAUUUAUAAUUUUUAUAAAAGUAACUGAAAUUUUUUCUUAACCUCUCUAAUUUAUAAUUUAGCCCCUCCUAAUUAUUGUUUCGUGCUCCGCCUUUGGACAGACUCCUCCCUUUCAUCUCUCUUUCUCUCACGAAGAAAAAAAGGCCACACCCUCUCUACACUCAAGUGCCUAAAUAGAUUAACUAAAGAAUUCAUGAGCACUUUUGAUAAUUAAAUAUUUUUAAAAUUCUUAAAGAAAUGAUCGUAUCUCUUAUUUAAAUAGAUGAUCUUUUAUUAAGAUUAUUCUAUUAUAUUAUAUUUAGUAUUUCAAUAAAUAAAAAAAGAGAGUAAAAAACCAUGACCCUCAGACCAUCCAGUACACACGCUUUUAAAUAAAAACAACAAGACAAACUCAUAAUCUUCAAGCUCCCACUGUAACCACUAAAGAAAAAAGAAAACCUAAAUUCCCUUAAAAAAAAAAUGCCCUCCACCACUACUGUAAAACAUUCAAACCUCCAUAACUAGCCAUCCUUUUCUCUCUAUCAAGCAACAAAUAAAAAAAACAAAAAAAAAAAACACUAAAAACCCCUCCCUUUUAUCUCUCUAUAUCAACACGCUUAUACACAAAGCUCUCCUCCACUCAAAUAUCCCAACUAAACCAAUAUAAUUUUAUAUUUUUUAAAACUCAUAAAAUCCAUUAGAUUUUAUUAAUUUUAUCAAAUUUCAUCAAGUUUAACUAAUUUUACUAAUUUUUUUAGUUUUUAAUUUUAAUUUUAUUUUAUAUAUUAGAUUCAUAUAAUUUUACUAGCCAACUUAAAAUUUAAAUGAGGAUUUCAUAUUAAAAAUUUUUCUAUGCCCAGCUAAUGGCUCUGCUGAAUGAUUUGACACAUCAUGAAAUGAAUAGAUUUUGUGACGUUGUCAGAAAAAUAAUAAUGUAAAUGAUUGAACCCAUGGAAAAGUAAAAAUGCAUUUGUAAAAUUUAUGGUCAAGUCUUUUGUUUAUCUUUGUCCGUGUUCAGCAUCAAUGAUUGGACCCACGGCAUGUAAACCGUGGGAAGUAAUAAAGGUAAUAUGCCUUCUAUGAUUGAACCUUGGGAUCUUUAAGAUUUAUGGUCAAGUGAUCUUUGUUCAGUAUAUAGCUUACCAAAAAAAAGAUCUUUGUUCAGUAUAUUGUGUUUAUCUUUUGCAUUUAAUAAAGCUAAAGCAUCAGUACGUAUGAUCAAGGCCAAAAGCUGACAGCAUACCCUACAUGUAACAUUGAGAAGCAAUAAUGCAUCUUUAAGAUUUAUGGCAAGUCUUUGUUCAUGUAAUUCAGCAUCUUUUGUUUCAUACACCAUGGAUAAUGAGCAAGACUCGAUUGAUUUGGCCGAUGACGUGGACACCUAUGGUGGUGGGGAAGAAGAAGAAGAAGACGUUGCAGAUGAUAAGGAUAGAGCAGGUGUGUUUCAGUCAGUCACAAGGACUUUUGGGGACGGCAGCAUCGGGUUGGAAAAAUCAGAUCUGGCAAAGGGUGGAGACAAUUAUCAGGUGGUGGGCUGCCUCAAUCAGAAGAUUUUCAUAAUUUUCAUAAUUUUUUAAUAAUUGAUAACGUGUAAGUUUAAGAUUAAUUUCACUAUUGUGUUUUAAUUUUUUUAUAAUCAUGAAUUAAUUAUUUUAAUUUGAUUAGUUACUAGUUAGUGGUGAAUAAAUAAUGUUUUUUUAAAUGCUAAAAUCAUAUUUAGAUUAGUCCAAUGAUUUAGAAAGGUUUAUUUACUUUGAUUUAUAUUAAAAUUUAUUUUCAUUUUUUAUUUUAUUUUAAAGUAUUAUAAAUUUUAUCAUCUUUAAUUUACAUUGAGAAAAUAUAACUUUGUAAUUAAACAAGAUUCUAAUAAUAUUUUAUUAAUUAAACAUGAUUUUUUUAAUAUACAUAUUUUCGAUACUUAACCUUUAGGCUAUGUUUGUAUAACAUCAUAAUUUAAAAAACCUUUACAAAUUAAAUAAGUGACUAAGCUUGCAUACAUACAUGUAUACAUUCCCAAUAAUAGUUUUAUACUAUUUCACUGACAAAAAAACAUAUAAUUAUACCCUAUUUCCGACCUAGGCAAUGGAGUAAUUAAAAAGAAAUUACGUAGACAUUUGCAGAUAAGCUUGCAUUAAUUGGAUGUUAAUCUAGUGUCUUACGCUGUAGGAUAAACAUGUGCCAUCGAGUUAUUGGUCCAGGUAGAAAGCCCAUUAACUCGUAAUAUCACGAAGCCCCAGUAAAAUCCAAUAUUUUAAUUUUUUUAUAUAUAUAUUAUAUAAAAAUUAGAUGAUAAUAAUAUUUUUUUCAUUUAAGGUUGAGUUAAAUUUUUUUAUUAAAACAUUUUUGUUUUUGUGUUUUAAAAAUUUAAUUUUUCAAGAUUCAAUAUUUUAAUCUAUAUUUGUCUAUCAAUUUUUCAAGCUUUACUUUUAGAUGUCAUUAAUAAUUUUUUAUUGAUUUAUUAAUGCACAUAAUUCUUAGUUUAUGUUACUAUAUAUGUGCAUAAACUUUUUGAUUUGUUAUAAUUUUUGAAAAAUUAAAAUGCAUUAAAAAAACAUGCAUAGAUAAGUUUUUAUAAAAAAUAAAAUCUCUCUCUCUCUCUCUCUCUCUCUAUAUAUAUAUAUAUAUAUAUAACAACUAUCAUCAUGACUAGAUUCCAUAAAUUACUAAAUAAACAAACAUUGAAUCUUAUAAUAUAGUUACUAAACUUAAUUUGAUAAUUGAUUUAGGAAAAAAUAUAUAUAAUCUAAAAUUUUACCUGAGCUGAGCUUCGUGUUUAACUAGAAAAAAAUAUUAAUUCAAUGAAGUCUAAUUAAUUUAUUUAGAUUUUUAGUGAUUUUAUUAAUUCAAUUAAACUAAAUCAGGUCAAUUUAAAGAAUUUUCUUUAACAAAAACAAAACUAUAUUAUUUUAACUAAAAGAAUUUAAAUUAAUGGGAUAUCUCGCAAAUUAAUUUGAUAAUUUAAAAUAUUAAUUCAAUGAAGUCUAAUUAAUUUAUUUAGAUUUUUAGUGAUUUUAUUAAUUCAAUUAAACUAAAUCAGGUCAAUUUAAAGAAUUUUCUUUAACAAAAACAAAACUAUAUUAUUUUAACUAAAAGAAUUUAAAUUAAUGGGAUAUCUCGCAAAUUAAUUUGAUAAUUUAAACUAUUUUUCAAAUUAGUUUUUGAUUUUGAAUAGAUAACUUAAAUCAUUCUACACCUACACACUGUCGGAAAAAAAUAAUGAUAUUCAUUUUUCUCUGGAAAAAGUAAUAACAUAUCUCAACCUGUAGAUUACUCCUAUUUGUCUAGCAAAACCAAGUGCAUAGAAAACUAUCAGUAACAAAAAUACAAGGCAUAUUCCUUCUGCUUCUUCUUCUCCUUCUUCUGGUUCGUUGAAUCUAACUUUCUAUCCAGAACAACGAUCACUUUUCUAAAGAGCCAAAUUAAUAUACUAAAUGAAAACAGUCACUUUUUUUAAAGAGCCAAAUUAAUGUAAUUAUUUCUUCUGGAUAAGGAUUAACAACCUAAAAAACGAAAUUUCGACAUGUUUUUGGGGUCCAUACGCCGGGAGCCACGUUCCCCAGGUCUCUUCUUGGGGUCCAUCGGCCGGGGACCAACGCAUCGAUUACCACGACGGUUAUGGCCGUGGAGAGGAGCGAGAGGGUGAGUGCGUGUCGUUUCACGGUAACAGUUUUGCCUGUUUCAGGGGUUCGAGGGAUUGUGGAGAGCGGAUGAGUGAUUUACUGUGGUGUGGUAUUUAUAGGGGGAUUUGAUUUUGACGCAGUGCGAAUUUAUUGUCUGGAGCACCGACAUGGGGGCCAUACUGGUUGAAAAACAAUUUUGGAAAGUAGCAUAAAAGAAUUGUUUUUUGGUUUUUCUUUUUCUAAAAAUAACACAGCAAAAGUGUUUUUGCAAUAGAGGUUUCUCUUAAAAUAAUUUUUUAAUUAAAAAAAAAAAUAAAAACUAAUCGAUGAUUUCAAAUUAAUGUGUAAAAAAAACUUAAGGCGUUAUUAAUAUAGAUGCAUAUUUAAAGCAAUGUGCAAUAAAAAGUAAUAAAAACGGAUUUAAAUAUACAUUCUAUUAUUUAAUUAAAAAUGGCCGAUAUGCUGCAUUAUUUUUUAGUUUGAUGAUGAAUGAUAAAAAUAAGGCCUGAUAUGAGUGUUUAAAUUUUAAUUUAAAAUAUGAUUCAAAUAAAAAUAUUUUAGUUUUUUUAUUACUAAAACAUGAUCCAAAUAUAAAUAUUCUUUAAAAUCAAGAACAAAAUAAAUUUUUAGAUAAAAAUUAAAUAUCCAGAAAACAUAUGGGCUGUAUUACAGGAGAAAGUACAAUCAAGAUAACUAAAAGCACUUUGCAAAUUUAAGACUAAUCAUGAAGUUUCUUUGUUUUUCACAUUUUGUUCCUUUCUCUUUCAAUUUAGAUUUUGAACUUAACAAAAAAUAUUUAGAUAGUAGAUAAUUUAUAUUAUUAUUAAAUCAGGCUAGUAGAUCAAUUUUAAACCCUCUCAAUAAUUUUAAACAGUGUGAGAGUUUUUUCAACAUGACUUAGUCAAUUUAACUGGUUCAAAUAUAAUCUAAUCGUGACUAGUAAAAAAGUUUGAAGAUAAAAUUAAAAAAAAAAAUUGAUAGAAAAAAAAAAGGAUGAAAAUUUUCAUUGUAAGAUUUAUUUAUAAUUUACAUAUCAAAGAUAAUCAAUUCAUACUGGGAUAAGAUAUAUUUUUUAAAAAAUAUAUUGUUGAUAGCUAAAUUUGUCCCUAUAAUGUUUCUCUAAUUUUUCCUUGCAUCUUUAAUUUGAUCAAUCUUAUCUUUAAAUACAUUAUUCAGUUCUAAUAAUUUAUCAUUCGGCAGGAGAUGUUUAGACAAGUCCACUAAAAUUAGUUGUGAAAUUGAUAAUAAAUGUAAUUUUGACAUGUUGAUUUAAAAAUCUCAUAAAUACAAAAUUAACAUAUUUAAAAAAUAAAAUAAAUCUCUAAUUUUAAGAUAAAUCAUCAAAGAAUAGCAAAAACAAAAAUAUAAAUAUAGGAAAAUAGAUACAAUGAUCACUAGAGAGCAUAAAUGAUCGCUAGAGAGCAUAAUUAUGAUGUAAAUGGAACAACACAGCAUUAACAACAAGUAUAAGCAAAAUAAAAUUCUACUAAAUAGGGUUAAUAUACAAAAACUCUCAAUUCAAAAUCUUAUUACUUAAUAUUUUCUUUCUAGUAUUCUCUUGAAAUUCAAGCUAACCAACUUUGUUUUGUCCCUUUCUAUACCUAAGCUCUUCACCGGCUUCGCCGGAUCUUGCUAAGACAAACCUUGGAUGUUGAUGGAGAGAAUCCUGCUUGAAACAGGAAGUUGGCAGAGGCAGAAUCGGCAUCUGUCCUGCCUGCUCGAAAGCCUGUCUUAGCAAUCCUGCUUUAGAUUGCUAAUAAAAAGGACUUAUUCCAUUCAAACUUCUUAGGUUUCGAAACAAUCUUUGGCAAAUUUAUUUUUAAUUAGUCUUAUUCAUAAAAGUAUCCUAAGACAAUAAUUUAGCUUCGACAUUGAUGCAAUAUUUAUAUCAAAAAAGUCUCUUUAGACGUUUAAUGUUUAUGUAUUGUAAAUUUAUUUGUAUUUAUUUUCGUUAUACAAAAAAGUAAGGUAUACCUUUUAUAUCUACCUAUGUAUCUAACUGGUCCAAGUUUAAGAGUUUUUCAUAAAUAGACAUUACAAUACUACUACGUGGAUUGAGCCUAUGGGUUGAUAUGAAAUAUAAUUAAUUUAGAAUCUGGAGCGGUUUAAAUUAAAUAAAUAAAUAAUUUAGUUGAUUUGAUAAAAAAAUUUAAGUUGAUCUACUGAUCAAUCAACAACCGGCUCUCAAUUUCUAGAAUUUUUUUUAUAAAAAAAUAUUGUUUUUAUUGUAUUAAAAAAACAUUUGAAAAUUGAUUCAGGAUGAUCUUUUUAACUCAUAACCUGUAUUUUAUCUUGAUCAACUCUAUAUCAAGUUUUACAAUUAUAUUAGAUUUAUUAAUCCUUACGGAAUUAUUUUGGAUCCAUAUCCAAUAUAAAAAUGUGAUCCAAUAUUUAAUAUUAAAAUUGUAGUUGCAUAAAUCUAAUGAGUUUGUAAAGUAGAUAAUAUCAUAAAAUUAUCCUUUACACAGGCUAUAUAUAAAUGAUGGCAAAUAAUAAUAUUAUUCAAUUCACGAUAUUACCAGCAGCCAUAACAGCACAAAUAAAUCAUUGCAGACAAAGCAAACACACAUAUUUUCUCAUGGAGUCUCUCACGCACACAUCAAUGUUCUCUUGACACCACCACAUAAUUAGACUCAAGCAAUUACAAAAUAAAAAAGAGGCAGAAGGUUUUCAUAACCAAACUUAACAUUACCAAUUAGCUAAGAAAUUGGCUCUAUUUCCAACACCCUGGAACACGCACCGCAUAGUCCUCCAAUACUUGCUGAUGGAGUAUCAUCGCCUUCAGAAAUCUCAUCAAUUCUUUUCUCACCUUCAAGUACACUAACGACUUCAGAUAUUUUAGGCCUGAGAGUAGGAGACAGAUUAACGCACUUCAUUGCUAACAGCAAAACAGUGAGAGCCUGCUUCCUGUUGUAACUGGAUGCUAAUUUCUUGUCCACCAAGUCAAGGAUUCCUCCCUUAUCGUGCAAAACACCAGCCUGCAAUUACAAAGCAAGAUUAGCUUAGCUCCGAGUAUUAAGGAAAUAAUCUAGUAAAUAUUUCUGAUUAUUUUCUAUUCAAUAAAAAACAAAUCAAGGAAUUAAAUAAUUCUAGGUAAUCAAGAAAUUAUUUCAAUCAUCCGAUACAAUCAACUAUAUUUCCUAUAUUUUAUUUUAUUUUAUUUACUUAUGUGUCUUGUUAUAUAAUUAUAUAAACUUCAUAUAGGUUGAAUAUAACACAUAUAUCAAAUUAUUGAAUAAUAAUAUCUUUUUUUAUUUUAAAUUUCUUCCUAGUAUAGCGAUCUCUAAAUAUUAGCUUUUGUAUUUUCAUGAGUUGAAUGUAACACAUAUAUCAAGUUAUUUUAUGUUGAUAGAAUAUGUUUGGUUUGAUAAUAACUAUGAAAAAAAAAAACAAAGGGUUUAUCCUGUAAGAUCCACCUACUUUAUCCAGAAGAAACUCAGCUUCUUGGUUUGGUGUGUAAUCUGCACUAAUUUUCCCGCUAACUAUUUCGAGUAGGACAAUUCCAAAACUAUAAACAUCAGCUUUAACAGUUAUUGCUUUUCCCAUUGAAUACUCAGGUGCCAUGUAAACUCUGCAAGAAGAGAUUAUUUAUUGGUUAGCUCUUAAUUAAAAGAAUGAAAGUAGUUGUCAAUCAAUGAUCAUAAUACUUACCGCGACCCUUUUGCUUUGAUGGCCAUAAAUGGAUCUUCCUCAUCACAAAGCGUUGCCAAUCCAAAGUCAGACAACUUGGCCGUAAGAGAGUUAUCAAGCAAAAUAUUACUAGGUUUUAUGUUUCCAUGAACAAUCUUGAACCUUUUCUCUUCAUGUAAAUACUUCAAACCUCUCGCUAUUCCCAGACAGAUACCAAAUCUAGCUUUCCAAUCAAGUUUUGUCGUGGAAUUUGGUUCUACAAAUCAAGGUUAUUGAUAUUAAGUUAUUGAUAUUUGCAAGUACACUAUCCUUGUACUAACAGAAGAUUUAAAUAUACAAUUACAUGAGUUUCACAAGGCAAUGCAUUAGGUGAAAGAGCAGGAUGAAAAUCGGGUGAUGGCAGUAUUACCGAACAACGCAUGGUGAAGGGAGCCUUUAUGCAUAUAGUCAUAUACUAGCAGAUGCAGGUCUUUAAUAGAAUAGCCAUCCAACAAUUGAACAAGAUUCUCAUGAUGCAAAGAUUUCAGGUUGAAGAUUUCCCUUUGUAAUUCAUCUUUUCCUUGUUGCUUUGAAUGAGGAGAAAUCUUCUUCACUGCUAAUUUUAUCUCGUUCGGCAAUUCAGCCUGUAUACACGUGAAAUCAAUUUACCAGAACUUUGAGAGAAAAAAGUGCAUGUUGAGAACAAAUGUUUCAAAAAGAAAAUCUGACCUUGUAUACUAUUCCAAAGCGUCCCCUGCCAAUCUCCAUUUUGGGGCUGAAUUUUCGAGUAGCAUCGAUUAUUUGUUUGAGGGUGAUUUUCCUUGGACCUCAAUGGUUAUUUCUAUUUGAAGAAAACAUCAAAGUAAGAAUUCUUAAGGUUGUGUGAUGCAUAAUGAUCUUAGAUUAGCAUGGAGAGGUACCAUCCAACUCGCUUUUCCGCAGCCAACCCAUUUUCCACAUGAAAGCCACCAGAAGUAGAGGAGCAAAGACUGAACCUGCAGUAAUCCCUGAAAUUUGUGAAGGAGAUAGUGUCUUGCCGCCAACUUUGAAGUCUGUACACGAAUAGUGGAAGACAGAAAGAAUAAAUUAUUUAUCCAGAUAAAGUGCAACAAAAUUAAGAGAAUGCAACUCUUUACUUGCAGUUACGGAAAUGCCUGCCACAAGGGGUCCAUUCACGCAACAGGUGCAGGUAUAAUGGACCCGGAAAGAUCCUUUGCCAGCCCAGAAAAAAUGGAUAGAAAAUGAUCAUCUCCUACAUAUGCUGGAAACUUGCUCCAUGUCUUAUUGGUGCCGUUGGCCAUUUCUUUUAUGUUGAAGUCUUUUAGUGUUCUCUUCCCCUAUAUCAAAAUGGAUUUGAACGAUGGAAAUUUUUUAAAAAGCUGCAGAAAAAUAUAGCGGUUACCUGUAUAUAUACAUCAAAAACACGUUUCCCUAAAUUCGAAUAAUCUUCAUCACUUUGGUAAACAGUUUCAGCGAAGUAAAGGUUCACAGUGUAAUUUCCUUUAAAUAAACAGAAGCCGUAAUAUGUCAGAGAAAGAGGGCAGAGGCGACUUGUAUUGUAUAACUGUGUCCCAUUAAAAUCACAAACUUCACAUUCCAUGUUUUUUAUGUAAUCACUGGAAUCGUAAGUUUUGAAUCCGAAGUCUCCAGAACAAGAAUAAGCCCAAUUUCCCUUUGGAGCUGAAUAAUAAUUUGAUGUUGCACUAUCUGCUUCAAACUCUUUCCCAUAAAAAACUGUGCCUCCUCCUCCACAAUUUAUAUAUAAGGUAUCGUCUGCAAAAAAUGAUAAUCAGUACAGAAAAUCUGUCCAGCGCUAAAUUCAACAGAUAAUUUUCAGAAGAGUGUCGCAUUGCACAUGUCAUUUCCAAACCUAAGAUUAAACCCAUAAAUAGUUUAAAUGAACGACUCAGGAGUGUAAAUAUACUAUCCAAUAUGAGCUUCUCAAUAGAACUUACACUUUGGUUUUCCCCGACAUUUAUUUUUCAGCUGUGGUAUAGAAUUCCUAGAAAUAGCAAACAACAUUUGUAAGAAAUAGCUCAGGAUCAUUUGUUCUAAAUUAAUUGCACCAUAUGGAGGAUAUUACCAUACCUGUUUGGUUCACUGCUUGAGUAGGAACAACAUGCAAGCAGUUGGUGCACAUGAUACAAAAUGAUCAGAAAUUGGAAUUUCAUAGACACCAAUAUUCUUGCCAGUGAAAAAAAAGGAAGAAGAAAAUGAAGUUGCCGUCAUUACAUUUUCAGCUUUCCUUCUCCUUUCUUCGGAUCAUCACGUGGAAUUUUAAAAUUAUUAUAUGACAAGUUCCUGCAACAUUAUUGUUUACAUAUCAAGAUUUUAUUGAGGAAAUCUACAAAAGGGAAAACAACCCAUCUGAGCAAAGAGCACAAAGCCAUAACAUACGCCUUGUCCUCAAUGUUACGAGGAACCCAGGAAGGUACUGUGCCAUUAAGCAUAUUUCUUGUGAGAAACCUAAACAAAAUAAAUCAAUAUGAAAACCAUUAAGCAUGUUUCUUGUGAGAAGCCAGGGAGGUACUUUUUAAUAGAGUGGCAGAAAGAACUUAUAAUAAGACAUCGAGUUCAAGGAAUCUCUUUUGCAUACAUCUUCCUUAAAGUCUGUUUUUUCAUGGAAUCUGGUAUUCCACCCGUUAAAUUGUUAAAGCUCAAGUCUCUGCAGGAUCAAUAAAAUGAAAUCAAUCGUUAUCCUACAUAUAUAUUUGAUAUAUAGUUGUGCUAUGGUAAAUUAUUGCAUAGUUGAUUCUGUAAACAAAUAAUCAAAAUCAUCAACACUUCCUAUGCAUGGCCUAAAGGCCCUAAACAAAAUAGCAAUGACAGAACUACAAAUCUUUUACAAAAGAGGAAAUGAAACUUACAGGUAUUUUAACAAUGACCAAUUACCAAUGUACGGGGGGAUUUCACCACUUAUUGAGCAAUUCCUUAUCACCCUACACAAAUCAUUGAAGAAGUUGGUGUUUGGAUUUAUCCAAUGCAUCCAUAUCAUUAAGAGUCACGUACAUAAAUAUUGACAAAAAAAUAAAAAAAAUUUUAAAACACAACAUUGUGACUUCACGAUUCUGUUAUGCCUAUAGUCGUAAUUAAUAUAUAUAUAUUUAAAAAAAAUUCUCAAACCUUAAUCCCAUGUAAUAGCUCCUAAAAAAAACUCAAGAUCAAAUAAAGAAAAAUAGGCCUAAAAAAGUAUUUAUGUAAAAGACCGGUCAUAAUCCAAAUUCUACAACAAUAUUAACGCUCCUAGACAAAUAUUAUAAUUCUAAGUGUGUAUGGUUUUUAUUAUCUAAUGUGAAAUUAAUCUUUAUACCACAAUUUGAAUUCAUGCCAUAGCUCAUUGGCUUACUCCUCAUCCAUUGACCGAUUAGGUGGUAAGGAUGCAAAUUAAGUAUUUACAAGUAUCGGAGCUUCUUACAUCAAAUUAGGAAGUUUCAGGCGUUCUUCUUUUCUUUUCUUUUUUCCUUUUUAAUUACAAAUCUCAAGUUAGUUAUGCAUGUGAGCUUGUGCCCUUAGUGUGAGCUUUAAAGAAAAGCAAAGGAAGGAAAAACUCACAGGCAUCUUAUUUUCGUCAUAUUUGCAUUUUUUGGGAAAGGGAAACCGGAGCUAGUUACAUCACUAACAAACCUGGAAGAAAAACCAUCCAGAAUAAAAACAUACAUUUAUUUCAACCUGUGAAAAUUAUAGAACACUUACAAGUAUUCGAGAUUUGACAUGUUAAAAAGAAAAUCAAGAGGCAGAUUUGACAUGCUAAAAUCAUUUCCGGAGAGGGACCUGUGUUCAGUACACAAAAACACAAAUUAUUGAAUGAUAUUCUUCGAUCAUCGACAGUUUCUCAAUCAAAUAAUAUUACAGAAAGUACAAGUAAUUUCUUACAGGUAAUAGAGUCCAGUCCAAUUCUCAAUGAACCUUGGUACUUCACCGGUCAAACGGUUCCCAGCUACGGUACUGCAGCCAUAGUUAGUUGCUUUUCCUUGGAACAAUAAUUAAACAGAUUGUUGGUUGAAAGAAUAUGAUGAGUUGCACUUACAACCACUGCAUUUCCGUAAAGCUGGCAUAAUUUCCCGGCAGUGUUCCAUUCAAAUUGUUGGAGCUCAACACUCUACAACAACAAAUCAAAAGGAUUGUAAUACACCCUUGUUCUGUUUUAUUUCUCCUAUUACAAUCUUCCUUUGUUUUACAAGGUGGUAUGAUAUUAUUAUUCUUGUUUUUUAAACUUACAAAACAUUUAGAUAUCUCAAUCUUCCAAGUUCUGGUGGAAGCGGACCACUGAGUUCAUUGAAGCCCGAGUACCUAAUUAAAUAAAAGAUAAGAACCAAACAAAACUAAAUAAGUUAUAAGGAAAUUCAAGGAGAAUGAAAGAGCGAGCGAGCGAGUAUCAAUACAUCAAUUGGAGAUUAGAGAGGUUGCCCAAUUCUUUAGGGAUUUGACCUGAUAACAUAUUAUACGACAAACCCCUGAAAACACCCACAAAAAUAAGAGCACAAGAAUCAAUAAUUUAAAUAUUUAAUUCACAUUAUAUUAUACUAAAAGACUGUGAUUGGAUAAUACUUACAGAAGUUGAAGGGACGAUAAAUUCCCUACAGAUGGAGGUAUGGAGCCAUUGAGGAAGUUUUGGGUGAGAUCACUAUGCAUAUGUAAUAGAUAAAAUAAGAACCAAUAAUUUAAAUUUUAUGAAGACAGACUAAGAGCUGAAAUUAGUUAUUAAAAUAUGAUCCAAAAGCCAAGAAGCUCUUUGCUCAUAACCAUGCAGACAGCCAAACAAGGCUUUUAUCCUAAUUACAUGAGAGAAAAGAACCAAACAGAACUCAGAAGUUAAUUUUUGUGACCAUUAACAUUUACAAGUAUCGAGUCCCCAAACGGCUUGCCGUUAUUUUCAUUUCUAACAAAGCUAAUUUUACUUGAAAAUGUUUACCCAAAAACUCUAUUAAAAAAUCUUAACUACUACAACUACUAAUCUAUCAAUUGUCUAUUCAGUAACUUCUUCUUUAAUUUAAAGAAGGAAAUUUGAGUUCUUAACUCAAAUUUUCACCAUUAUAAUAAAAUUACAUAGUCCUAAACACUUUAUUCUCCGAAUGAAAAUGAGAUCUUAACUAUUAUUUAAUGGAAUAUAAUUUAAAAGAAGUAAUUUUAGAAAACAAAAAUGUUAGAUUUGUGUAUAUAUAUAUAUAUUCUGACAAUGCAUGCGGAGACUAUAAUUUCAUAGAACUCUUGAUAACAGAAGUUACAAAUUGUAUGCUCUUUUCUUACCAUUAUAUAUUAUUCUUUAAAAGAAUAGCAAUGGUAUAAAAUCAAACCCAAAUAUCCAAGAUGUUCUCCUAUAAUUCAUAUAAAAAUGGAUGUUCUUCGAUACCCAAGUCAAACUUUUUGUUAGUGUCAUUUUGUUUUUGUUUUUUUUAAAAAAAAAAAUUGAUGAUGGAUGGUUUGCUUUUAACUAUAUUAGAAAUAAUAAAUUUAGUUUUGAAGCAUGAAAUCUAAAUACUUGAUUAGGAAAAAAAUUAAAAUCUUUAGAAAUUAGACAUGGAAUGUUUAUGAAUAAAAGUCAAUAUUAAUAAAAUACAUAUAAACACCCACAAGAAUAAGAGCACAAAACUCGCAUCAGCAAUGGAAAAAGAAUUAAAUUGACACUGAAGAUGAUACUUACAACUAUAUGAUACUGAAGAAAUUGUGAUUGCAUGAUACUUACAAAUAUUGGAGGGACGACAAAUUCCCCAAAGAUGCAGGUAUGAAGCCACUGAAGCAGUUUCUCGAGAGAUCACUGUGCAUAUGUAUUACCAUAUAAGGUCAUUAUUACUCAAAUAAGAACCAAUAAUAUAAAUUUUAUAAUCCAAAAGCUGAGCAGCUCUUUGCUCACAGUAAAUUAAUGGAAAUAUAACAAAAGAUUACAAAUAUGAAAUAAUGAAUCAAUACAGAUUUCUUUACCAGCUCCCUUGUUUCUAGAGGGCACUUAUUUUUUUAUUUUUUUUACUUUUUCAAACACACAUCUAAAUUAUACUUGUAAUAUAUUUUUACUCUUAAAUGAAACAAUAGAAAAAAAAUUAUACUCAUAUUUAAUUUAACAUAUCUACAUAUAUUAAUAUUAAAGAUUAAAAUACUAUAACAUUAUUUGGGAUAAUUAAAUUAGAGAUGAAAAGAUAUAUAUAUAUAUAUAUAUAUAUAUAGUCGAAGCUAAAUAACUACAGCCCAAAGACCGAAUAUCCGAGGCAGAAGCUAAAUAUAUCAAUUAUAGGGAUUCUAAAUCAAGUUACAUAGAAAAUCUUAUUUUUGUUAAUUUUAUUUUAAAUAUUGUAGUAUAUUUAAAAUAAAGAAUAUUUUUGAACAAAUCACUGCAACAAAAUAAACUGCAGUAGUAAUAAAUGACUAUGGUACUUACAGAUGGUAGAGUGAAUGCAAGUUCCCCAUGGUGACAGGGAUGCUACCAGAAAGUUGAUUAUUGGACAAAUAACUGUUAUUAAUGUAAUAAGAUUGUUACCAAUUAGUUGAGCUCAGCAUACUGAUUCGAAUGAUUAUCAUCACAUGUCAUAUGAUACUCACAUUUCUUCUAGGUGAUCGAGACUAGUCAAGGCUGCAGCGUUGACUCGUCCUGUUAAUACCCUGCGUGAGAGAUCUCUGCCACCCAAAAAUGGCGUUAACAUAGAAACCUUACAAAAAUAAAAGAAAAUUGGAUGAAGUUGAUGAGGAACUUACAGGCUGGUGACGUGACAUACUGUUCUGCUCUCAUAAUUGCAAUUGCAUUUGAUGCCUCGAUAAUUAUUGUCACAAGACGAGUUUGAGAUUUGUUGAGAACCCCACCCUAACGUGGUCAUCAACUCAUCCAAAGCCUUCGCUGCCAAACAUUUUUCAACAAAGAAACACAUAUUUUGUUUAAUUAGCAAGAUUCAAACAGGUAGCAUACCUGAUACCUUCAUGAUCAAAACCAUAUAUUUUUAGCUUCCACAACCUCAAGCUACCUCUAGCUAGCUUCAAAUCCGAACUAAAAGGAGAAAAAAGAAAAAAAACUAGUGCUAAUUUAUUGUCAAUUGACUAUACAAAUCCAUCUAGAUUUCCUUACUAAAAUCCUCGUAAAAAUCAAUUCAUCCUUAACCAAUCACUUCACUUGAUAGUUAUAGGAAAAGAUGGAGAAGCAGAAAAUAUAUAAGAAAUGCAGUACGUAGGCUAGCAAGAUAAAACUAGAGCACUACGGAACUCUCUGCCAGGCUGUGGAAGCACUAGAGAGUGCAAAUGGAAGAGAGAAAUAGCAGUAUCUUGUGCAUAAGGCUUUUCGUUGUUUGGGUCACAAAGAUAAUUAAGACCCUUCCUUCCAGCUCAAGUGUUCUCUCUUCUUUCUCUUGUUAGCUUGGAUCAGUUUCGUGCAAACAUGAGUGAGUUUAUAGUCUAAGUACAGUUAAUUGAGUUUAUAUUCUUGAAAACAAAUUUUCUUCCUUCUUUUGUAUAUAGUUGGAAAAGGAUAUAUAUGUAGAUGGAAAAGUAUAUCGUGCGUGUGUACCUUCAUCGUCAGGCAACUUUGCUUCACAGGCUACAUAGCGAAAUUGACGAAGAAGAAGAAGAACGGCAAGAGAGGAAACAAGCUUAGGAAAGAGCUUAGCCAUUACUACUUUAGCUUGCAAUGCGCUUCCCAUAAGACAUGCAUUCUUUAUAUAGAUAUUGUUUUACCGUUCAAACUGUUAUUAACUCUGAGCCACUCACAUUACCAAAUUGUCCCUGUCCAAAUAUCAAAAUACCUGAGAAAAGUAACUUGCAAUAUUAUGCAUGGAGGCCUAACAAUUUUGGUUCAUGUAAAUUGCAAAAUGAUUCCAAAGCAGCAUUUUUUAAAUUGAUUAUAUCGUAGUCUUUAAAACGUUGUAAAAUUUGCAUAUUUGAAUUCAAUUCAAUGUCUGAGAUUUGAAUUCAUUCAUGCAUAAUUAAAGGGUAGUAAUUAUUCAAAUAUAUAAUAUAUAAUUAUGAGUUAUUAUGCAUUAUUAAUCCAACACUAUUUUUGUAUCUAUUAUCCUCUCCCGAGUAAUGUGAGCUUGUGUUUUAUGUCUUUUAUCUCACAAUUCAUAGAAAGAUAUCCAUCACUGAUCUAGUUGUGUGCCUCACAACUAACCACCUGUCAUGAUACAAUAAGCACGCACUUCUUCCACUUUGUUGCAUGCACACUUCAACUUUCAGUCUUUCAAGAUUCCACUUUAAAGCUUUAUUGGUCGUUACUUGGAGCGGAGCAAAUAAUUAAAUACUAUUAUCUUGCACUACGUAUCAAUGUCCACAAAUCAGAAAAACAAACUCAAACACUCUCUUUAAAUACUAAACCUAAGAUCUAUAAUGACUAAAUUAAGAAAAACGUACAUAACAAACAAAGCUAGAAAGAAGGUACUUUUACAUUGAUUUUUGAAACCGAAAAACUGAUGCAUAAUUAAUUCUACUGGUUACUAGAAAUAGUCCCGUUGCUUUGCCCUUAAUUACCUGCUAUAUAUAUAUAUAUAAAAGAACCUAACAUUUUUUCCUUAAAAAACAGAUGUUUUUUCAUUAAAAAUAAUUUAUUUAGGAAGUGAAAGGUUAUUGUUCAUAUUCUUCAUUCAUAAACUGGACAAAAAUAUAAUUCAUAAGAAUUACCACUUAAAAAUAAGCUGGACAAGAAUUUAAGAUCUCUAAACAUUUUAAAAAUUACUUUACAAUCCAUUUCACUUAGACUCACUCUUUCUCUGCACUCUCCCACACACUACACUACUACUCUUCUCACAUCCCUAGCUUUUAUACAAAAUUUGAAGUGGCAGGGCAAAUCUUUAGGCAUGUAAGUCUGCAUGUGGUGUCUAUUCUAGAAUUCUUUUUUUUUUUAAGUAGAUAUGUAUGCCGUUAUUGAUCUUCAACCUCAUGUUCACAAGAAUUCAAAGAGGAUCUCUAUUCAUAAGAAGAAGAAUGAUUUUUAAAUAAAUCUUUAACUGAUGACUCAACUUUUAAGUAGUAAAAUAAAAGAAUUAUCACUUAAAUCGGUAUGAGAAUUCUAUAUUAAGAAAUUAUUUGUGUAGCGUUAAUCCGAAGAAUAAUCAAACAUUAUUAAUUUUAAGAUGAAAGCUGUUAUUCUUAGAAUUUUGCAAAACAAGUAUGAUUAUGAUAAGUACUAUCAAGACGUUGUGGGCAAACUGCUCAAAACAGAAAGACAAAGGCAAAUGGAAAGUGAAAAGGAAAAGCGUCAGGACAGAAGAUGUUGGGAAAAAGAAGAAGAAGCAAGCUGUCAACACAUGCUUUGGGAAUCUCAAAUGUGUAUCACAUGAAGUUCUUAAUUCCAUGGAAGAUUUGUAGUGGUGACUAAAUGGUUAGAUAAUUACCCUCUCCAUUUUGUAUAUGUUCUUCACUGUCGCUUAAUUAUGAAUAGGCAGCAGGAAAAUGUAGCAGAUCAAGAUUGAAAACAGAAUCACACUGCCAACACUCAUGCCACUGCUUCUACAUGCAGUGCAAGAAUUACUCUUCGCGCGUGUAUCUGUCCAAGAAUUGCUCUCUGCCCGAGUGAAUAGAAAGAGGUAGUAGGAGCCAAUCUGAGAAAUGAAUGAUUCUUUCUGUCUGUCACGGGGUGCGAGCGCCAACGCAACGUUGUCUGACGACCGCGGAGGCUCUUGUCAUGCCUCCUAUGUGAAGUAUCGUGUGUUGGAAAAAAUUUUGAAUUUAAUUAUAAAAUUAUGAUUAAUGUUUAGGAGUCGUCACCUAGUAUUAUGGUCACUAGAAAUCUAUGAUCUGCGAGAAUUUGAGUAAAGGACUGGUUGUGCAAGGGAAAACGCAUCACCCUCAGUGCACCCUAUCUAAGAUAAACUGCAUUGUCAUUUGAUUGUUUUUUUUUUCUAAAUCGGGUUUCUAUUCGUUGGUCUUUUCUAAGGUUUAAGGCAGAUCUUUCUUCAUGAGAAAGUCUCUACCUUAUUGGGUAAAUCAUAGCCGUUCUAAAUUCUGAAUUUUAGCAUAUUUAUUUACACAUUGUAUCUUUAAUACCUGACGGUGUACUUUAUCGUCUAAUUUUACAUUCCUCAAAUAUUAAAAUCUACAUCUGAAUCCUAAAAAAAGAUUGGAAUUUUUUUUUUGACAUGUUGGUCAAAUUCUAAUGGAUAAUCAUAAACUGGUUACAAUAUUUAUUUUUGAUUUUUUUAAACAUGAAAAAAAUAUAAUUUAUUUUAUUUAAAAAAAAAUUAAUUUUUUUAAAAAUAAUUCAGAAUUGGAUUCUGACUAUGUCUAUAGGGGUCGGUCCUAAAGGCAAGAGCAGUUCCAGGUGAUGCAGUGGAUUAAGCCAUUGAUCGUGUAAACGACGGAAGUCAAGAAGGUUCCUCGAAGCCCGCCACUAAAGCUAUUAAUUCUUCUCUCUCCCGCCAAGGUCCCCUUUCGUGGAAUAGCAGAGACCACUACC